ACCCAAUCAUUCACAGCAUAGAUCCACGCUCUACCAAGUUUCUAGCAAAUAAUCCAGUACCUACCAUUCAGCAGCCAAAUAAUGCAACCCCAAAUCCUCCUAGUAACUUAUCCGGCACAAGGCCACAUCAAUCCCUCUCUCCAACUAGCUAAGCUCCUCAUACGUGCUGGUGCCCAUGUCACCUUUGUCACUAGCAGCUCUGCCGGCACCCGUAUGUCCAUAUCCCCAACCCUGGAUGGGUUGGAGUUUGUGACAUUCUUGUUGGUUUUGAAACCAGAUAAUUAAAAGAAAAACGGAUGCCAGAAAAAUUUUCUCAAAAUUUUUUCUCAAUGAUCAAUACUUGUAUUAAUUUAAUGAAAUAACAAAUAUAGGUAAUUUAGAAUUGUACCUUGCGAUUAGGCUGAUAAAUUUGAACUCCACCAAAAGGAUCUUAGAAUUCCAAAUCCUCUAAAGCACCAUGGAUCUUUCUCUAACGUUCUCCAAAAAAUGAUGAACUCAAAACGAGUUGGCGUUUUUCAUUCUUGGGUUUUUUAUUUUUUUAUCACACAACUUAAUAUAUAUUGAAAACUUGUAUUCUCAUCCCAUCAUCCGAGAAACAUUGAGAAAAAAAACUUUUUAAUACCACGAAAUAACUGACAUAUUUUGAAUUUUGAAAAACAUGGGAGAGAAUAUAUCUCCCCAUGAUCCCCACUUAAAAAGUGUUUCUUAGGGAAUACAAGUAAGUGUGGUCUUCACCACAUUGUAUCAAAAAAUAUUUUAAAUAAUCAAAUUAUAAAUAAAUCAAAUCAAGAUUGUGUGAAAUUAAUUUAGAAUUCAAAAUUCCAAACUAAUAAAAUCAACCCAACAUAAAAAAAAAUGUUCAUAUAAUUUUAAUGGAGCCGUUGAGAGGAACUAUGGACAUUAUAAUUUUAAGCUCCAAUAAUUUUGACAAUUAAUUAACAACUUAAUUAAAAAAUCAAAAUUAUUAAUUCCAAAAUUACUCCACUAAAAAUUUGGAAUUGCACUCUUAAAAUUAUAAAAUUAAAUAUAUUCAAAGGAUUUGAAUUGCCCAUUGAUAUAGUCACUACAUAUGAGUCAAUCCUCCAUAAACGGUUCAUAAUUAAAGCUAGGUUUUUCCGUUAACCUCUUUAAUUAUCUCUUUCUCCUUAAGUGCCAUUGGUUCUCUAAUGAAUAAUAUAUUUAUGGUCUAAUCAUAAAUUGAGCGCUCUUAUCAUUCAAGGCCCAAACCAAUACUUAUGGGAACUAUCCAUCUGACUUCUUAACGAAGGAAUGGAUUUCAUCUUGUAUAUUAAUAUUCCCGGCUAUUUAUUUUAUUAUACUUCCAAUACACCAAGAAUUUGACACUAUGUAUUUGUGUCAUUACCCGGUAUGUCAAAAAAUACAAUAGAAUAAAUAGGAGUCUAUUAAUCACUCAGAAUUAAGAUCAAUGCAUAUAUGACCAUCAUUGAUUAAUAUUGAAUGCUCUAUAUUAUAACGGAAUUUAUCAGAGAUUCAUAAUUAAUCGUGUUCCAGUCCUAUAUAAUCAAAUUAUAUAAAGCGCUUUCAUUCCAAUAAUCUCAUUAUUAACAAUCUGGAUAAGAUCAUUUCAUUCAGAAUGUAAUGAACCGCACUAGUAAUUUUAAAUUAAAGAUCCCAACUUUAAUUUUUAAUUACGAACAUAUUAGAUUAUUUUACUUUAAAUAUUAUCCUCUUGUAUAUAACACUUAUAUACAAUAUUUAAAGUUACAAUUAAAUAAUCUAGGGUUUUCGAUAGUUAUAAAGCAUCUAUAACAUGCAUGCAACAAUAAUAUUGAAAUAAUUCCUUAAAAAAAUAUUAAUAAUCAGCAAAAUAAAAAACAUCUCAUUUGUCUAUGGGCACAUAUUCCAACAAUCUCCCACUUGCCCUAAAGCAAAUGUGACAUGUCUCUAAGUCCCAUCCCUUCAAGAUGUUGCUCAAAACUCCGAGCCGGUAAAGUCUUAGUGAACGGAUCAACUAUGUUGUUCGCAGAUGCGAUCUUUUCAACUAAAACAUCUCCUCUACUGACAAUCUCUCUUACCAGGUGGAAUUUCCGUUCUAUGUGUUUUCCUUUUCGAUGGUUCCUGGGUUCUUUGGCAUUAGCCACUGCUCCACUAUUAUCACAAUAGAGUCUGAUUGACUCAUGCAUAUUUGGAACAACUUCCAGUUCUUUCAAGAAUUCGCGAAGCCAGACUGCUUCUUUAGCUGCUUCACAAGCCACUACAUAUUCAGCCUCCAUGGUUGAAUCAGCAACACAAGUUUGCUUGACACUCCUCUAUAUAAUGGUUCCACCUUCCAAAGUGAAAACGGCCCCAGAAGUAGACUUCCGAGAAUCUCUAUCUGAUUGGAAAUCAGAAUUUGUAUAUCCGAUAGGAAUCAAUUCCCUACCAGAGUAUACCAACAUAUAGUUUCUCGUCCUUCUCAGAUAUUUAAGUAUAUGCUUGACUACUACCCAGGGAUCUAAUCCUGGGUUUGAUUGGUAUCGACUAACCACUCCCACUGCAAAGUAUAUGUCAGGUCUUGUACACAACAUUGCAUACAUCAAACUACCAACUGUUGAUGCGUAGGGAACUCGUCUCAUUUUCUCCUCAUCUUGCGGUGUUUUUGGACACUGCUCUUUAGAGAGAUGAACUCCAUGUCGAGAAGGCAAAUUCCCUUUCUUAGAGUUCUCCAUUGCAAACUUGACAAGCACCUUGUCAAUGUAUGCUGCCUGAGACAAUGCCAGAAGCCUAUUCUUACGAUCCCUAGUCAUUUGGAUACCAAGAAUGUAGCUUGCCUCUCCCAAAUCCUUCAUUUGGAAUUGGCUGGCUAGCCAGUUCUUUACCUUGGAUAGAGAUUCUACAUCAUUUCCAAUGAGUAGAAUGUCGUCCACAUAAAGAACUAAGAAAACCACUUUAUCUCCUCCUAUUUGCUUAUAGACACAAGGUUCACCCAGAUUUUGUUCAAAACCAUAAGACUUUAUGGCUUCUUUAAAUCUGAUAUUCCAAGAUCUAGAAGCUUGCUUAAGUCCAUAAAUGGACCUUUGUAGUUUGCACACUUUCUGCUCUUGGUCUUUGACCAUGAAACCCUCUGGUUGGACCAUAUAAAUAGUAUUUUCAAGAUGGCCAUUCAAAAAUGCUGUCUUGACGUCCAUUUGUCAUAUCUCAUAAUCAUAAUAAGCAGCAAUGGACAAGAGAAUCCUAAUGGAUUUUAGCAUGGCAACUGGUGAAAAAGUAUCCUCAUAGUCUACUCCUUCCUUUUGGGUAAAACCCUUUGCCACCAGCCUUGCCUUGAAAGUCUCUACUUUCCCAUUAGGUCCUCUUUUUCUCUUAUAGAUCCAUUUGCAACCAAUAGGCUUAAUGCCUUCUGGUAGAUCUACAAGCUCCCAGACUGAAUUUGAGUACAUAGACUCUAUUUCGAGUUUCAUGGCUUCCUGCCAUUUCUCUCGAUCAACAUCAUCCAUCGCCAUUUUGAAUGUCAAUGGAUCAUCAUCACUGCCAUCAGUGACUGCAACUUGUGCUUCUCCAUUUUCACGAUAGCGAAUGGGCAAUCUUAUUUCCCUCCCACUACGUCGUGGUGGCGGUGGUGUUAGAUCUUGAGCAGUGGUUUCUUUUCUUUGUCGUUCAACAACUGUUGUUGGCGUGGGGCUGAUCUCAUCAGCUAGCAACUCUUCCAGAACUACUUUACUUCUAGGUUUAAAAUCUGCCAUAUAGUUAUACUCGAGAAACGUAGCAUUUGUUGACACAAAUACUUUGUUAUCCUGAGCGCUAUAAAACAGACCUCCUCUUGUUCCUUUAGGAUAUCCUACAAACAUGCAUACCUCAAAGCGAGGUUCUAGUUUCCCAAUCUUUCCCUUUAACACGUGCGCAGGGCACCCCCAUAUGCGAAUAUGUCUCAAACUAGGUUUGCGACCAUUCCAUAACUCUAGGGGAGUGUUAGGGAUUGACUUAGAUGGAACUAUGUUCAGAAUAUAUACUGCCGUUUGUAAUGCAUAUCCCCAAAAUGAGGUUGGCAGAGAAGAAUAGCUCAUCAUUGAUCUCAUCAUGUCAAGCAAAGUGCGAUUUCUUCUUUCGUCUACACCAUUUUGCUGAGGUGUCCCAGGUGCCGUGAGCUGUGAUAAUAUUCCAUUUUCAAUCAAGUAUUCCUUGAAUUCAUAAACCAAGGAUUCUCCUCCUCGAUCUGAUCGAAGAGUUUUGAUUGAUUUGCUAAGUUGUUUUUCUGCUUCAGCACAAAAUUCUUUGAACUUUUCGAAAGCCUCGGAUUUUCUUUGUAUCAAGUAUACAUAUCCGUAUCUUGAAUAAUCGUCAAUAAAUGUGAUGAAAUAUUCAUAGCCCCCUCUUGCUUUGACAUUCAAAGGUCCACAUACAUCAGUAUGUAUGAUCUCUAGAGGUACUUUUGCUCUUUCACCCUUAGCCGAAAAUGGCCUUUUGGUCAUUUUGCCUUCUAGGCAAGAUUCACAAACUGGUAGAGUGCCAACUUUUAGCUCUCUCAAAGGACCAUCCUUUGCUAGUCUUUCAAUUCUAUCUAUGUUAAUGUGACCAAGCCUUAAAUGCCACAAAUAUGUGUCAUUUUUAUCAUUAGAAAUCUUUCUUCUUUUAGGGGUUGGUUCAGCGACUUUAAACAUUUCGGUUUGAAGUAAAUUAUUGAAAAUUGGUUUAACAAAAUAUAUACCAUUAUCAACAUAACCUGAACAAAUAUUCAUUCCAUUCUUAUAGAUUGAAACAGAGUCAAUAUCAAAAGAAACAGAAAUAAAUUGUUCAUGUAACUUUGAAACCGAAAUCAAAUUCCAUUUGAAAUCCGGAAUAAAAUAAACAUUGUGCAAUAAAAAAUAUUUAUUAUUAGCAAAUGACAGUCGUACUGUCCCAACUGCUGUCGCUGAAACUCUUGCCCCACUGCCAACUCUCAUCAUGAAAGCUCCCUCUUCAAGAUCCUUAGAUGACUCAAGCAUCUUCAAAGAAAUACAAACAUGGUUAGAUGCUCCUGAAUCAAUAAUCCAGCUUGAGAAAUCAUUCUCAACUAAGCAUGUUUCCAUUACUAAUAAAUCUAAUUUACCUUGUUUCUUCUUUUGUUUCAGCUCAUCAAGGUACUUCUUACAGUUCCUUUUCCAAUGGUCGUCUUGAUUGCAAUGGAAACAUUUCCCCUUAGGUUUAGGCUCAACAGCCUUCCUUUUCUUCUUUUGGAUCUUCUUCUUGUCCUUUUGAUUUCUCACAUUUCUCUUCUUCUUAUUCCUUGAAGAAGAAGCCUUUUCCACAACUGCAUUAGCCUCAGCAAUAUUUGCCUUGCCUCUCUUAUCAUCUAUAAGGGUCUCAUAAGAUUGCAGCUCAUUCAGGAGUUCUGUCAAAUUACAUUUCUUAUGGUUCAUGAUGUAGUUUGUCCUGAAUUGGAGGAAAGAGGGAGAAAGUGUCUCUAAGAUCAUGCCAACCUGGGUCUUUUCAUCAAUUUUAGCUCCAUUAAUUUCAGCCUCAUUAAAGUGAUGAAUCAUUUUAAGGACAUGCUCACGAACUGAAGAACCAUUCUUCAUUUUACUGUUCAUAACAGCUUUCACAGCUUCGUGGCGGGCCUGCUCAGAGGGGCGUCCAAACAUCUGCUGUAGAGAUUCCAUAAUCUCGCUUGCAGUUUCAAGGCCCUCAUGCUUAGUUCUAAGCACUUCAUUCAUUGCUGCUAACAAGUAGCAGCGGGUCUUGUUAUUUGCAAUAAUCCAACGGUUAUACUCUUCUGAGACAACCUUGGAGGCAUUAGCUGGAGGCACUGGAGGACAAUCUUCCUUAAGGACAAAGUGGUAGUUCUCAUUAAUGAGAAGAAUGUUCAUGUUGCUCUUCCAUUUUACAAAGUUUUCACCAGUUAAAACUUGAGAGGCGAGAAGUGAGAAAAUUGGGUUUAACAUAUUUGCUGAACAAAAAUAAGAAAUAUUUUCAAUAAAUAAUUGCAUAAAUAUCAUAAGAAAAUUAAAGGCAAAGUAAAUAUGAAGCAAGAAUGCUCAUGAUAAAAUACACCAAAAAUUAUACUUUAACAGCCUAAGGAAUUUUAAUUACCACAACUAAGUGCGGCCGUAUGGUAGGUCAAAUAAUUGCUAAUUAAAAUGAGACUUUCUCAAUUAAUAAAUAUUAUCCAAAAUAUCUCAUAUUUCUAAUACUUAUUAAUUUCCUUUAAGUUCAGUCAAGAAAAUAAUUAACCAAUUUAAUUAUAUCUUUAUGAGUGUAACCCACCAUAUCAGAUUUUUAAGAUUUAAUUUAGAAAUUGCCGCCGUAGGGUAGAUCAAUUCUAAAAUACAUCUUAAAAUCCUGUCUCAUGGAAGACAACCUUGUUAUUGAAAUUAGUAGACACUUUCCGUAGGGAGGACAAAAUCAAAGUGUCUCUAAGCGCUACUAAAAACUCACAGUGUUGUAUUAAUAGUGGAGACCUAGGGUUUAUAUUGUAAUAUUACCUGCUCCCACUCAUUAUAUUGCAAAAGGUGUAUUUAAUUUAUAAAACAACUAUUGUUUCAUAAACCUUAGACAAUUUAAACAUUUUAAAUUACUAAGCCUUUAUAAUUUUAAACAAUUUAAAACUAUAAAUUAAGUCAUCUGUGACAUUAUAUAAAAUAAAAUAAAAAUAAACGCAUGAAUGCAUGACAUGCAAAAAUAGGUAGGCACUUUUCUAACUAAAAUGACAUGCUAAAACAAGGGUAGUGGUGGAGCCAGGGAUAAAGUUCAGGGGCAACAUGAAAUAAACCUUCUUCAUAUACAUAACCAGCCAGGAGCCAUAGCCUGGUGGUACUAGCAGGGAAUACCCAUCCUUCAUGGGUUUGAAUCCCUUGGCUCCACCCCUUGCAGGACAAAGUAAUCAUCAACUUUAUAAAUAUAAAAACGGAAAUGGUUGGGUUCCAUGGACGUUAAAUACAACCCAAAUAAAAUAUAAAAAAAAUACAAAUAAUAAAACUGGGUCUUCCUGUAAAUCUACAUCUUCAUCUUCUCCUUGAAAGAUGGUGGUCUCCAUUGAAUUUCUCAAAUUCAAUAAAAUUCAAAUUUCCUUGAAUUGUGGUUGUCUCCAUUGAAUUUCUCAAAUUCAAUAAAAUUCAACCCAAAACCGAUUUACAAUUACAGCAAUAAACCUAUUUACAAAAGAUCUUAUAAAAUAGGAAUUACAGCAAGAAUCCUAUUUACAAAAGAUCUAAUAAAAUAAUUAUUACAAAAAUAACAAAAUCCAUGGAACCAAUAAAAAAACGACCAAUCCAUUCCCACAAACAUUCAUCACCAUGAACAUAAAAAUAAACAAACAUCAAUAUGCAAAAGUGCCUACCGAAAGCCAUGCAAAGAUUAUCAAAUAAUCAUUCAUUAAAUUAAUACAGAGUAUCAACCUGCUCUGAUACCAAUUGUUGGUUUUGAAACCAGAUAAUUAAAAGAAAAACGGAAGCCAGAAAAAUUUUCUCAAAAUUUUUUCUCAAUGAUCAAUACUUGUAUUAAUUUAAUGAAAUAACAAAUAUAGGUAAUUUAGAAUUGUACCUUGCGAUUAGGCUGAUAAAUUUGAACUCCACCAAAAGGAUCUUAGAAUUCCAAAUCCUCUAAAGCACCAUGGAUCUUUCUCUAACGUUCUCCAAAAAAUGAUGAACUCAAAACGAGCGGGUGUUUUUCAUUCUUGGGUUUUUUCUUUUUUUAUCACACAACUUAAUAUAUAUUGAAAACUUGUAUUCUCAUCCCAUCAUCCGAGAAACAUUGAGAAAAAAAACUUUUUAAUACCACGAAAUAACUGACAUAUUUUGAAUUUUGAAAAACAUGGGAGAGAAUAUCUCUCCCCAUGAUCCCCACUUAAAAAGUGUUUCUUUGAAUUUUGAAAAACAUGGGAGAGAAUAUCUCUCCCCAUGAUCCCCACUUAAAAAGUGUUUCUUAGGGAAUACAAGUAAGUGUGGUCUUCACCACAUUGUAUCAAAAAAUAUUUUAAAUAAUCAAAUUAUAAAUAAAUCAAAUCAAGAUUGUGUGAAAUUAAUUUAGAAUUCAAAAUUUCAAACUAAUAAAAUCAACCCAACAUAAAAAAAAAUGUUCAUAUAAUUUUAAUGGAGCCGUUGAGAGGAACUAUGGACAUUAUAAUUUUAAGCUCCAAUAAUUUUGACAAUUAAUUAACAACUUAAUUAAAAAAUCAAAAUUAUUAAUUCCAAAAUUACUCCACUAAAAAUUUGGAAUUGCACUCUUAAAAUUAUAAAAUUAAAUAUAUUCAAAGGAUUUGAAUUGCCCAUUGAUAUAGUCACUACAUAUGAGUCAAUCCUCCAUAAACGGUUCAUAAUUAAAGCUAGGUUUUUCCGUUAACCUCUUUAAUUAUAUCUUUCUCCUUAAGUGUCAUUGGUUCUCUAAUGAAUAAUAUAUUUAUGGUCUAAUCAUAAAUUGAGCGCUCUUAUCAUUCAAGGCUCGAACCAAUACUUAUGGGAACCGUCCAUCUGACUUCUUAACGAAGGAAUGGAUUUCAUCUUGUAAAUUAAUAUUCCCGGCUAUUUAUUUUAUUAUACUUCCAAUGCACCAAGAAUUUGACACUAUGUAUUUGUGUCAUUACCCGGUAUGUCAAAAAAUACAAUAGAAUAAAUAGGAGUCUAUUAAUCACUCAGAAUUAAGAUCAAUGCAUAUAUGACCAUCAUUGAUUAAUAUUGAAUGCUCUAUAUUAUAACGGAAUUUAUCAGAGAUUCAUAAUUAAUCGUGUUCCAGUCCUAUAUAAUCAAAUUAUAUAAAGCGCUUUCAUUCCAAUAAUCUCAUUAUUAACAAUCCGGAUAAGAUCAUUUCAUUCAGAAUGUAAUGAACCGCGCUAGUAAUUUUAAAUUAAAGAUCCCAACUUUAAUUUUUAAUUACGAACAUAUUAGAUUAUUUUACUUUAAAUAUUAUCCUCUUGUAUAUAACACUUAUAUACAAUAUUUAAAGUUACAAUUAAAUAAUCUAGGGUUUUCGAUAUUUAUAAAGCAUCUAUAACAUGCAUGCAACAAUAAUAUUGAAAUAAUUCCUUAAAAAAAUAUUAAUAAUUAGCAAAAUAAAAAACAUCUCAUUUGUUUAUGGGCACAUAUUCCAACAAUACUAGCACAGAUGGUACCAGGAGGGCUUCCUCAACGUCCUUAAGGCUUGGACUUGAGUUCGAAUCCUGGGGAGACCACUCUGGGCGCCGCGCAGGCUCAAGCCUAGGCACUAGGGCCAAACAAACAAAUGACGUCCCAACAAUUCUCGGAUGGCUAUGAUCAUCGAUUCAACCACGGGGACGGCCUCCAAAACUUCAUGUCCGAGCUGGAGCGUCUCGGGUCCCCAGCUCUUACUGAGCUCAUCAUGGCCAGAGCUAAUGAAGGUCGUCCCUUUACUUGCUUACUCUAUGGUAUGCUAAUUCCUUGGGUAGCAGAGGUCGCCCGAAGCCUUCACCUCCCAUCUGCACUUGUUUGGAGUCAACCUGCCGCUGUUUUUGAUAUCUACUACUACUAUUUCAAUGGUUAUAGAGAGCUCAUUGGGAACAAGAGCAAUGGUUCCUCUUCUUCCAUUGAAUUACCAGGGCUCCCCUUGCUCAGUAGUAGUGAUCUUCCCUCAUUUUUAGUGCCCUCAAAAGCAAGUGCACACAAUUUUGUCCUCAAAUUGCAUCAGAAGCAACUAGAGCAGCUCAACCGUGAAAGCAACCCGAGAGUACUGGUAAACAGUUUCGAUGCAUUAGAAUCCGAGGCUCUAAGAGCUAUCAAUAAGUUUAAGUUAAUGGGAAUUGGACCCUUGCUUCCAUCGGCUUUCUUGGAUGGAAAAGAUCCAUCCGAUUCGUCAUUUGGAGGCGAUAUUUUCCGUGGUUCAAAGGACUAUAUCCAGUGGCUGAACUCAAACGCUGAAUCUUCUGUCAUUUAUGUGUCAUUCGGAAGCCUCUCGGUGUUACCAAAGCAGCAAUCAGAGGAAAUUGCUCGCGGACUGCUAGACAGCGGGCAGCCUUUCUUGUGGGUCAUAAGAGCCAAAGAAAACGAAGAAGAAGAGAAAGAAGAUAAAUUGAGUUGCGUUGAAGAGUUGGAACAACUAGGGAUGAUAGUUCCUUGGUGUUCUCAGGUGGAAGUUCUGUCACAUCCGUCAUUGGGAUGUUUUGUGUCACACUGUGGUUGGAAUUCAGCUUUAGAAAGCUUGGCUUCUGGGGUGCCAGUGGUGGCAUUUCCUCAGUGGACUGAUCAAACCAUAAACGCGAAGCUGAUUGAAGACGUGUGGAAGACAGGUCUACGGGUGAUGGUGAACCAAGAAGGACUAGUUGAAGGUGGUGAGAUCAAGAAGUGCUUGGAAUUGGUCAUGGGAGGUGGAGAAAGGGGUCAAGAGGUGAGAAGCAAUGCCAAGAAAUGGAAGGAUUUGGCCACGGAAGUUGUGAAGGAUGGUGGAUCUUCUGACAAGAACCUGAAAAACUUUGUGGAUGAAAUUAUACAGGGUCACUAGUAAAGAUGCACCACAAAUUACAUCAUCCAAAUCAGGAGGACUUUUCUCAAUAGUAUGGUAAUUUAAAAAAAUUAUUUUUAAAUUAUUGUAGUAAAAGAAGUUAUUACAAAUAUAUGGUAGUUUUUACUACCUAGGAGAUAAGAGAGAGGGUGAACGGAUAAAUUUUUUUUUAAACCAAAAUCAUCUUUUCAAAAGACGAUUUUAAAAAAAUUUCAAAAGGGGAAAUCCUCUCUUCAAGAGACGAGUUCCAUAAAAAUAUAUAUAUAUAUUAAAAAAUUCCCAAAUUAUUAAAAAAUAAAUAAUAAAAAAAAACAAUUCCUCAAGGGAACUCGUCUCUUGAAAGACGAGUUCCCAUGAAUUUUUUUUUUUUAAAUUCCCAAAUUAAAAAAAAAAUCCUCAAGGGAACUCAUGAAGAGACGAGUUCCAUGAAAAUAUAUAUAUAUAUAUAUAUAUAUAUAUAUAUAUAUAUAUAUAUAUAUAUAUAUAUUUAAAAUCCCAAAUUAUUUAAAAAAAAAAAAAUUCCUCAAGGGAACUCGUCUCUUUAUAUUUUUUUUUUAAAAAUUCCCAAAUUGUAAAAAAAAAAAAAAAAAAAAAAAAAACCAAUUCCUCAAGGGAACUCGUCUCUUGAAGAGACGAGUUCCCAUGAAAAAAAAAUAUUUUUUUUAAAAAAUUCUCAAAUUAAAAAAAAAAAAAAAAGUCCUCAAGGGAACUCGUCUCUUCAAGAGACGAGUUCCCAUAAAAAAAAAUUCCCAAAUUAUUCAAAAAAUUAAAAAAAUAUAUAUAUAAUAAAAUAAAAUAAAAACUCAUUUGAAGAGACGAGUUCCCUUGAGGAAUUUUUUUUUUUAUAUUUUUUUUUAUAAUUUGGGAUUUUUUUUUUAAAUAUAUAUAUAUAUAUAUAUAUAUAUAUAUAUAUAUAUAUAUUUUAUGGGAACUCGUCUCUUGAAGAGAAGAGUUCCCAUGAGGGAUUUUUUUUUUUUUUUUUUGUAUAAUUUGGGAAUUUUUUUUUAUAAAAUAUAAAAAAAUAUUUUUUUUUUCAUGGGAACUCGUCUCUUAAAGAGACGAGUUCCCUUGAGGAUUUUUUUUUUUAAUUGGGGAAUUUGUUUUAAAAAAUAUAUAUAUAUAUAUAUAUAUAUAUAUAUAUAUAUAUAUAUAUAUUUUCAUGGAACUUGUUUCUUGAAGAGACGAGUUCCCUUGAGGAAUUGUUUUUUUUUUUUUUUUUAAUUUGGGAAUAUUUUUAAAAAAUAUAUAUAUAUUUUUUUUUCAUGGGAACUUGUCUCUUGAAGAGACGAGUUCCCCUGAGGAAUUUUUUUUUUUUUUAAUUUGGGAAUUUUUUAAAAAAAAUAUAUAUUUUUUUUCAUGGGAACUCGUCUCUUGAAGAGACGAGUUCCCUUGAGCAAUUUUUUUUUUAUAAUUGGGGAAUUUUUUUUUCAUGAGAACUCGUCUCUUUUUUUAUUAUUAAUUUUUUUUUUUUUUUUUUAUAAUUUGGGAAUUUAUUUUUUUUUUAAAAAAAUUUUCAUGGGAACUCGUCUUUUCAAGAGAUGAGUUCCCUUGAGGAAUUUAUUUAUUUAUUUAUUUAUUUUAAUAAUUUGGGAUUUUUUUUUAAUUUGGGAAUUUUUUUUAUAAAAAAUAUAUAUUUUUUUUCAUGGGAACUCGUCUCUUGAAGAGACGAUUUCCCUUUUGAAAUCGUCUUUUUAAGAGACGAGUUCCCUUUUGAAAUUGAGUCUUUUGAAAUUUGAAAAGAUGAUUUUGGUUUAAAAGAAAAUUUAUUCGUUCACCCUCUCUCCUAGGUGGCAAAAACUACCAUAUAUUUGUAAUAACUUCUUCUACUACAAUAAUUUAAGCAUAACUUUUUAAAAUUACCGUACCAAAUAUAUAUAUUUUUUUUAAAAAUUCCCAAAUUAAAAAAAAAAAAAUUAACAAGCUCUCUUAUGGACAGGAGGAAUCAAACUUAUCAAUUUCCAUUUGUUGUAGUUUUGUUUUGAAUUCUUCUAAAUUGGAAAUUUUGGUCCAACUUUGUAAUAUGGAAUAUGUUCAAUAUUUUAUUUAUUUGUUUGUUUAUUUAUUUUUAUUCAAAGUUCAACUUAACAAGCCCUUUUACUUAUAAGCGAUAAGAGGAAUCAAACCUAUUGAUUUUCAUUUGUUGUAAUUUUGUUUUGAACUCUUCCAAAUUGGAAAUUCUAGUCCAACUUUUGUAAUAUUGAAUAUGUUCUCCAUUGACAUCCAAUUUACAUUGUUCUCAGUAAGUACAUUCUCAAAUUUAAAAAAUGCUAAAAUAAUCAACUACAUAGGUGUUGAUUCAUUUCCAAAUUGUUAAUCGAGAACUUAAUUUUCAUCCACCACAUAUUCAAAUGGAUUAUUUUGGAUUGAUGAUUAUUUUUAUUAGUCUCAUAGAUACUUAAGAUUAGAUAAAUUAAUAAUCAAUCAAUCUCACAUGAACAAGUUGUUAUAGAGAGUAGCUUAAACCUAUGCAGAUGCAAAAACUAAAAGUCCAUUGAUAAUGGAAAAUUCGUUACAUAUAAAAGAAAAGGGCAUAAUAUUACUUGGUUUAGACGUUACUUAUUCUAUGAGACUUAUACCAAUCAACACAUACAUUCUUUUUUCCACAUUUAUGACAUAGAACACUUUAUGCUCCUUAAGGGAUCACUUCGAACGAUAUUGAGGGUUAGAAAUUCAAAUUCUUGAUCUCUAGUUUUCAUCUUUGAAAGGAUUUCCAAGAUUUUCUUGAGAAAAAACCAAUUUGAGAGUUUUAGCUAGAAUAACUACUUUUCUUCAUUUUUUUCAAGGGUUUCUCCAAAAUAUAUUUUUCAAUUUGUUUUUAUACCAAGACCAUAACUUUUUUAUUAUGUUAAAUAAGGAUAACAUCAUCAUUAAAAAUAUAUAUAGUUCUUUUAUAUAUAUUUUUUUUAAUUUCAAAUAUAUAUGCAAAGUUCUUGAGCCUUCCAAGGUGAUGCUUGAGUGCCCUUUGUUAAAUGUUUGGGCGUCCAAGGUUGUUUUUCUUGUUUUUCAUGUAAUAUUCUACAUGGAUCACUUCCAUGUGCUUUCAAGCAUCCAUUAAUUCCUUUUUACACUUAAUAGCGACUAAAAUUUUUAUGUUAGCACACAUUACUUUUACCUAAAUUCAACUCAAGGUCUACUUACCAAGCUUUAAGUAUAGAGUUUUCAACUCGAACAUGGCAUGUAUAAAUCUCUAUGGUAGUAAAGUAGGUUUGAACAAAUAACUUUUGGAGCAAAAUUUUCAACUUAAACUAAUACAUUAACAAACCUCUCUAUUGGUGAUUUAGGGACAAAACAUCAAUAUUAUAAAUGGACCUUCGACUCUCAAAUUAAGAUGCACUAAUGUCACUCAACCUAGUUCUCACCAAAAAUCAUUGAAAAAUAUGAAUGACACUAAUAAAUUCAUUUCACUUUUCUUGUCUUCUCAAACUUGUUACUUGAAAUAUACUUAAACAAAGAUAUAAACAUAAACUGUAGUGUGUAAAAAGAAAAUAAGACAACAAUAAUGAAACAUAUAUAUCCCUCAAAUGUAGUGCAUUAAGAAAUCCUUAAUAUAUCAUCACUUCCUAGAUGCACUAAAAAUUUGUUUAUAUUUUCCUUUUAGUCACAAAAAUGAUCAAGGCAAGAAAGAAAAUAUUAAUCUAUCAUAACACAUCUCAAUUAUCCAUUAAUUGAGUAAGAAUAGUAAUUAAUCAAGAAAAUUUAUAUCCAAAAUGCACAUAUCAUAUCUAGCCAUACAACAAAAGUAUUGGCUUUGGUGUUUUAUUUAGCCGCAACCUAUUCUAUAGAGUCAUUUCCUAUAUAAAACUCUCAACCGUGUAUGUCUUUCCUAACCCUUGGUAAAAAAAAUCCAUGCAUGAAUAAACUUUCCUCUAAGAGUCUUCUUAAUCUCUAACUAAAUCUCUAUGUGCUGCAUAUGGAGGAAAUAACACACUUUAUUGAUGUAAUAAGAGCUGACUUAUAUACAUAGCUAGGAAAAACUACUUAUGGCAAUGUACAUCAAUUUGUCUACAACUAUGCAAUAGUUACAAAUUUGUUAAAGUCAACACAACAAACAACGGUUACAAGAAUAUACAAAAUUGAUUUUGAAUGAUCUUGCUUGGUUGUAGGCUAUCUGUUCAAUCAUUGCCUUGAUUCUUGCAAUCUGUCUUUGUCUUUAUACAUCCCCGCAAGAUUAAGCUUCCAUCAGCAAGCCCAAUCUUGUAUCUCAAUAGUUCGGUUCUUUGUCUUGACAAUGGCUUUGUCAACAAAUCAACCAAUUGGUCUUGUGUAUGAACAUGUUGAACUUGGAGAGAACCAUGUUGAACUAGAUCACGAACAAAAUGGAAAUCAAUUUGUAUAUGUUUCAUGCGUGAAUGUUGGACUGGAUUGAAACUUAGAUGUGUAGCACUAAGGUUAUCACAGAGUAAUAAGGGAGCUGCUUUAAGUGGAAAACCUAGCUUGUGAAGAAGUCCACGAAGCCACAUUGUCUCGGAUACUACAUUUGCAAGGGCUCGAUAUUCAGCUUCGAUGGUAGAUUUUGCAACUACUCUUUGUUUCUUUAAGCUCCAUGAAAUGGGAUUUGGGCCUAAGAAACUAAUGUAGGUAGAUGUGGAGAUUCGAUCAUCAAUAUUUCUAGCCCAAUCAACAUCAAAAUAUGUGAUUAAAGCUAGAAGUCCAAAUUUUGUGAGUUGUAUACCAUGGAAGAUGGUUUGCUUUAAGUAUCGAAGAAGCCUUUUUUUUGCUGUGAAGUGAGUGGUGGUAGGCUUGUGCAUGAAUUGGGACAACUUGUUGACCGAAAAUGAAAUAUCUGGACGCGUUAAAGAAAUAUACUGCAGACUGCCAAUGAUUCUUCGAAAUUUUGUGUUGUCCACAUUUGUUGUGCCAUCAAGUAAUUUGAGAGACUGAGUUGUUGAAAGAAGAGUUGAGACAUCUUUAGCACCACUCAUGUUGGUAGUUGAUAGUAACUCUCAAAUGUACUUGUGUUGUGAGAGAAAUAGUCCUGCUUGAGUAGGUACAACUUCCAUACUAAGAAAAAAAUGAAGUAGACUCAUAUCCUUUAGAGAUAAAUGAUCUCCCAAUUGCUUGAUGUAAUAAGAGAUAACUUAUAUACAUAGCCAGGAAAAACUAUUUAUUGCAAUGUACAUUAAUUUGUCAACAACUAUGCAACAGUUACAAAUUUGUUAAAUUCAACACAGCAAACAACGGUUACAAGAAUAUACAAAAUUGAUUUUGAAUGAUCUUGCUUGGUUGUAGGCUAUCUGUUCAAUCAUUGCCUUGAUCCUUAUAAUCUGUCUUUGUCUUUAUACUGCAAGUCAAAUAAUUCCAUGCUUUCUAAAAUCUCAAUCCGUAUCCUUCACACAAUUUCAAUCUCAAUGGUGUCUUCAACUAGAAACUAUCCCUUCCUAAAAUUCCUCUUAACCUCUAAGUUGUUCAAGCAGUGUACCCAAAUCUCAAUGGUAUCUACCCUUAUCCCAUAUGCAGCUGUGAGUAUCUAACACUCUCCAAAAUCAUUCCAAAAGAGAGUCCUACUUACCAAAGAGUCUUCUCCAAAUCUCCAAUUUCAAUGGAAUCAAUUCUAAUCCAAUAACUUUUCCACAUGCCAUGAAUGUCUUCAAAGAGUCUCCAAAAAUUUGGUUGCCUUCUUAAUUUCCUAUCAAUGUCAUGUGCCUCCAAAGAAUCUACUACAUCUCAAAAACUAAUCUCAAUUUUAAAUAUCCAAUGCCUAUGCCAUGCAAUGAGGCAUGAAAUACUAUCCUAAAGUGCACUUAAAAAUUUUCUUAAGAUGCAUCUAGAUAAAUUAUCCUAAAAUGCACAUAAAUGAACUAACUUAAAGUGUACCUAAAUUUAAAGGACUAUAUAUGCAUCUAAAUGAACUAUCCUAAAGUGCAUUUAUAUGAACUAAAUCUAAAAUGCAACUGAGUAAACUAAACUAAAGUGUAACUAAGUGAGUAGAGCCUAAGGUGCGACUAAGUGAACUAAGUUAAGGUAUAACUAAGUGAGUUGAACCUAAGGUGCAACUAAGUAAACUAAACCUUGAAAUGCAACCAAUUGACCUAAGUUAAAAUAUCACUAAGUGAGCUAAGUUAAAGUGCAACUAGGUGAACUAAACCUAGAAAUGAAACUAAGUGACCUAAACUAAAGUGCAAAUAUGGUCACAUUUAAGAUCCAUAAAAAUCCCUCAACAAAAAAAUCUCUAAAUGUGGCUUAAAAAUAGUUAAACUAAUGAGUGAAAAUGGAUCACCUUGAGAUGACUAUAGGGUAAUGAAAAGUGAUGGAGAAUACAUAGAAUAGAAUGUGCUAGUAGGACAAAAUGAAGGGUUUACAAUAUUAUAAUAAAUGAGAUUUUAUUUUCUAUUAUUCUAUCUAUAAUAGCAAGUAUUUAAGCAUUCAGGCCUUCAUUACUUACAUUAUACAUGACUUGUGUGUGUUAGGAGUUUCAUAGAAGAUCUAAGUCACAGGUUCCUUACAAUUUGAUGAGUUGGUCACAACUAGUUUGUGUACUUAGGCAAUCCAUUUGAGGCUAUGGUACACUACCUCUUGAUUGAAGAGAUAAAUUAUCUUAUCAUUAGGAUGAGUUUCCUAUAAGGUAGUCUUUAGUGACUUUUGACAUACAGGUGAGACCCUAAGAUGAUCAUACUCUGGAUUAAAAUAAGUGACAAUAGAUAUUCUCAACAAAGGCAAGAUGAUAUCUCAUGGGAUUGAGACAAUGUAUCUCAUUGGGUAAUUUUAAGGACUUCUUAUCAUAAAAUAGGUAGUCUUGUUUAAUUUCUUAAGUGGAAUUUGAUAUAUGUCCCUAGUGGAUUAGAGUAUGUCAAUUAAUCACAUAAUAGAAGGAAUUGAGACUUCAAGAUUGUAGAGGAAAUAUUAAGAGGUUGAUAGUAUCUAUGUUAUUAGAUUAUGAACACCAAUUCAUAGGGAGUUUGCAUGUAGUGAAUAGUAAGUCAUAAAUUAGAGAAAUUGAUUAAAUUAGAUUUUCAGAAGUAGAAAUAAAAUAUUUUCCCCUAAAGUCCAAGCCUCACCAUCAAGUGAUGGGACGCAUAUAUUUACAUUUAUGAAGAAAAUGUUGGUUCAUAACCAUAUUAUGCUCAUGUAUCUUGCAAGUUGUACAUAACAUAUGACAAUGCUAUCUACAUUGUAUAUAUUGAAGGAGCAUUUAUGAAAGUGUUAGGCUACCAAAAGCUCUAAUACCACUUGUUAUGCAUUUUGAAGCUCUAAUUGCAAGCAUAUUGAUGAAAGAACAUAAAAUAAAGUCAUCCACACACAAAGGCAUGCAAGAUUUCAACAUGGUUUAACUGAUCAUAGCUAUAUCCAUGAAUGAGAGAUAACAUUCCACUAUAUGAUGGAAAAUGUUAUAUAGAAUGUGAAACAGGUAUAACUACUAGGUUCUAAAACAUCCCACAUUUUCUCAUUCUUUAUUUCUCCAACUUAAACCACAAGUCCUUUUUCUCCACUAGGUGUCUCUCAUUCUUUCUCACAUCUCACCUUGAACUACAAGCCCUUUUGUUCCAUUAAUAUCUAUUAUUCUUCCUCUUAUCUCUAUCCACCAAGUAGUCUUUAUAGGUCCACAUCUCUCCUAUAACUUUUUCACCUUAUGGUCUAUAAUAUUUAUAGAGAUAACAAUCACAUAUGAAUAUAGAAAAUAUUCUAUAUAAUAUUUCUUCUACAAUUUUUUUUUUUAAUUGCAAUUAGGAAUUUGAGACAAUUCUCGACAAUCUUCACCUUACAUCAAAUUCUAUUAAGUCAAUCUUUCAUUUCUCCAUGAUAUACAAUUUUCUAAUGGUCAUAACUCUCUUCAUGUGUCAUAGUUCCUUUCGUACACUAUGUUCUUAUUGUGUGCCAUGAUCCUUCUUAUAUAUCAUUUUGAUGAGAGAAUAAUUGACUCUACCUUAAUGAAAUUCCCUUUUUGCAAUCCUCUUUGAUGUUAUUCUUCAAUAUACUUCUUUACUCUUUCUAACAUAUUCAAACAAGGCUCAUCAAAACAUCUUCAACCAAAACUCUUCCAAACAUCUUUAAUUGAGGUUUUUCCAAACAUCUUCAACCUAAGCUCUUAUAAACAUCUUUAACUAAGAUUCUUCUAUAUAUAUAUAUUAAAAAGGCUCUGAUACCACUUGUUGUGCAUGUGGAAGCUCUAAUGCAAAUAUAUUAAGGAAAGAAGAAAAAAUUAAGCAAACCACACACAAACAUACAUGAGAAUUCAACGUGGUUCAACCAACCACAUCUUCACAGGUGAGAAAUAGCAUUUUGCUAUAUGAUAGGAAAUAUCAUAGAGGAUAGAAAACGGAUAUAAUUAUUAGGUCUUGAAAUAUUCUACAUUUCCAUAUUUUUUGUAUCUCCGCCUUAAACCAUGAGCUCUUUUAUUCUACCCAGUGGCUCUCAUUCAUCUUUACAUUUAUACCCUAAACUACAAGUCCUCUUACUCCAUCAGGUAUCUCUCACUUUUCCUCACAUUUUUAUUUACCACAUAGGAGUUAUAAGCUCAUAUAUCUCUUAUAACUUUUUCCCCUUAUGACCUAGAAUAUUUAUAAAAAUAUCUCUACUACAUUUUCCUUAUUUUAUAAAAACUUUAAUUACAAUUUAACAUAUGAAAUUAGAAACUAAAAAUAAUGUUUCUUUUACAAAAUGGAAUAUAUUUCAAUUAGGAAUUUGAGACAAUUCCCAACAAAAAUGUGCAAAACAAAACAUACUACCCUUAAAUUCUCAUACAGUCAUAUCUAAAAUAGAAUGAAAUUUAAGUUCAACAUAUAUGAAAUCCAUUCAUAAUCAUUAUCAUCUACUACAUUGAAGAAGCUAAGACACAAUGUUAGAAUGCAAAAGAUUAAAAGAUUUCUAAACUAAUGCACUCAAGUAACUAUAAUUAUACUUAAACAAGGGAGAACAUACUAAUAAAAAUUUUACAUCAUUGUAAUUUUUUUCAUGUAAGUUUUAUUGUAUGAGUUUUUAUUGAUAAGGUUCUUAAUAAGAUAGUUAUAAUAGUUUAAAAAUGUAACAAAAUAAGAUUGUACUCUUUUACCUUUUAUUAUGUUUUUCAUACUAAGGUUUUAACAAUGUACUUCUGAGAAUAAUUAUCAUCUAAGAGGUGUAUUAUAAAUUUGUAUGACAAUUUAUGGGUGACAACUAUCACCAUGUUUAUAUAAUGGGAAAGUUGUGUUUGGAGUCGGCUAUUUGAAAGUAAUAUGGAAAUCAAACCAAAAGAAAUUGGAAUAUGGGAUUUGACCGUAAAUGAGAAAAAUAUUAUCUUACUCAUGCACUAUAUACUAUUUAGGUAAGCAUUUCCAAAAUUGCCCUUUAAUUUUCCCUGUCAACAGCCACCGGUCUCCAUGUCAGCAGGCAGGUGCACAAUUUAAUAAACACUAAAAUCUGCAACUUGAAGUUAUGAAAUCUGAAACCCAAAAAACACCCAUUGAAAGUUGGGGAACUCUCUUUGUCACUUGCUCUCAUUUUGCCUUAACCCGAUCUCAGAAAAUUUCCAUUUUCAUAGCUCAUUUGAUACAAUCGAUCUAUUUAUUAAGGUCUUGAGCAGGCGAUGGAUACCCAUCUUUCGAAAGCCAUCUUCGUCUAAUUUUGGCCUAACCUUAGUGUGUCUCUCUUCACGAGUUGACCACCCAAACCCGAUAAGUAUCUUCCGAAAACCUUCAACGAAGCCAAAGUCGAGGCAUAUCUUCAUAUUUCUUCAUCAAAUGUUGAAUUUUUUUUAAGGCUUCUGGAAACCGAAGUAGAGCUUUCUCAAUCAAUCACAAGUGAGUUUUCCAUAUAAGGAUUCGUUUGGCUGUUGAGAAAAUAUUGGGGCUAAAGGUGCUAUAUUUUGGGGUUUGUUGUAUUUUGAUUAAUUUUCGCAUGAAUGAAGAUGAGGAAAAAUUUAUUUUGGUUAAAGAAAUUUUUAGAUGGACCCACCUCUUUCUUAAUCGGUUUCUUUAUGAAUUAAAAGCCACCCAGUUUUCCCUUUUGUUUUUUUGGAUUUUUUUUUUCAAUUUCUUUUGCUUAUUUUGUUUUGGAAAACUAUCUCACUGUACUAAGAACAUAUUCUAAGCCUUAAAUGCCUUAUACUUUUCUAGAAAGCGUUUUAAGCUUAUAGGUAAUAAAAUGCUGGUACCAACAAGACUAGGGCCAUUAAAGUGCUUUAUAGUGUGCUUGGUUUGCAACCAAGCACUUUAAGUUACAAGGGUUUUGGUUCAAUGAGAUCCAAUAAGAUGUUUCUGAACCUUUUGGAAGGACUUUCCUUACUUCUUAAUUAAUAUUUACUUAGAACUUCAUGAAACCUCUCUAAUGCUUACAUGAAUGUCUCACAUUGCCGAUGCUUUGUAAUUUCACUACAGGAGAAUAGAAAAUGGAUAAAUUUCCAACUAUUAGAUUGACUAAAUUUGUUGUAUAUUGAUUAAUUUUAUCCCUAGAAAUUGAAUUCUAAUACAUGUAGCAAGAUAUUUUGGAAUAUUUGAAUAUGUGAAGCAUUUGGAACCUUUAACUAGGGCCCUCUGAUCGUUGAUAUUGUAUCUUGCAACUUCAAUUGAUUUUUCCUUGGUCAAUUAACCAUGAUUUCUAAUUUGUAAAUUUCUGUGUGUAUUUCCUCUUUUAAUUUCAAAUUCAAUUUUAAUUUUAGUUUUUAUUUAUUUACUUAUUUUUAUGUUUAUUUGUGUAUGUGUUUGCUAACAUGUACUUGUCUAAAACUUGAAGUUGUGACCAAAUUUUGCAAACAUGUUCCUCAUGUUUAAUAUAUGUUUUUUUUUUUCCAAAGCUUUGAAAUUCCUUACUUGUUAAUAUGAAUUUUCAUCAUUUUUUUUCUUGUAAAUUGUUAGUCUUUCAUUUGAAAAGAAUGAUGGGAGGAUGUGAAAGUUUUAUGAGUUUGAGUUUGAUUCAAAAAUGAACUAGAGAAACUAACCCUGAUGAUCCAUGAAAGGAUUUUAUAGAGAACUUCCAAUCCUUGUUAAAUCUUGAAACUAACUUGCCCAAAGAUUCUCUUCUUACCUUUGUGUCUUGAAUCUACUUAAGAAAUGCUUCCACUAUUUCUAACUCCCAUCUUGAAGGUUUUUGACAAAUUGGAAUGGUGGAUUAAGGAUCCCAUUUCUAAAUUUUAGUAGUUCAAAUUUUACAACGGUAGCAUAUUUUGGGUAUGAUGUUGAUUUAAUAUAUUGGUGGACAUAUGCCUAUGUCUUGCCUUGUACCAAAUCUAACAUUUAGUAAUUUACAAGUAAUUAAAAUGACUAUUUUAUUUUUAAGUGGAAAAAAACCUAAAACCUACAUAAGAUUUUUCGGUAGAAACCCUCCUAAAAUAUUCUUUUACCUUAAAAUGUGUUUGAGAAUUACUCCUGAGUUGGGAAAACAUGAAAAAUGGAAAAGAAAAAUCACAAUCAUCAUCAAAAUUAAUUCAUUUAAUUAUUUUGCCGACUUAAAAAUUUCCCAUGCCCUCAAGUUCCUUCCAAAAUGCAGCCAGGAGGCUUCUGAUAUAGCUAUGAUCACUGUUCCAGUUCAUUACCAUAAUCUGUAAGCUGAAGAUUGUAACAAAACAUUGAUUGAGGUGGGCAGACUCUGGAGAAAUUACUAAUCUGCACAGUGAUAUGCAUGGACGUCGUUUUUUAAAAUUUUAUGAGUGAAGCAACUAUAUUACAAACAAAAAACACCAAAACAGCGCUCUAAAGUACAUAGGUGAUAUACAACGAAUGCUUAAAAGCGCAAUACUAUCAUCUUGGUUGUUGUAUUAUCUUCUUUUUAUCUUCACUUUGUGUUGGUAGAAUUUGAUUAGUAUUUGCACCAUAGGCUGAAGAUUUCUUAAGAUUGCAAUUUGUUUUCUUGAAAAAGAAAAAUUUAGUAAUAUUAUCAUCUAAAUUUGUAGUUGGAAGUGGUAAAAAGAAAAAUCAAGGCCAACAAAUCCAAAGAGGAGGUUGAUUCACUAUAAUUUUCUGAAAAGCAUCUUAUUAAUAAGGUAUAUACAUAACUUUCAUCCAUAACUUUUCAUAUGUGUGUGUGUGUGUGUGUGUUUAUUUAUAUAUUUAUAUUUUAUAUGAUGUGUGCUUGCUGAAGAUGUUGUUUAUAUCUUGUGACAUCUCAUAGAAUUUUUUAGGAAAAAAAAAAAGACUUGUUUGCUGCACCUCAAAUGCUAUAAGGUUGCAUUUGGUUGUUCACUGUAGGACUCUAUUUGAAAUUUUGUUCCAUGGGCAUUUAUUUAUUUAUUUAUUUUAAUAUGAUGCUAGAGAUAAAGAAGCUAGUUGAAUUUAAUUGAAUUCUAUUCCCAUAUUUUUUACAAUUCUGUAAUCACUCUCAAAUUAAAAUGCCUACCAACUACUCCUGAUGACAACAGUAGUUGUUGAAAAGAACCAUUUAAGAUAGUUAUUGUCCAUUUAUCAUGCUUGCAGAAACAUCUGUUCUGGUGCACUCUAUGAUUAGGCUUGUUUGCAUCACUCAAUGAUAUUACUAUGGUAGGUGGUUAAGAAAAAGUAUUUACUAAAUCAUUGGUUUUAGAACUUAAACAUGAUAGUGUUGUAUAAUUGAGGGGGCGCAAGGGGAAACUAUUAGUCCAAAUUGUCCACAAUACGUUACCUGCCUACCAUGUGUGUCUAAACCAUAUCUAAUUUCUUUGGUUGAAAGAUGAUGUUAUUGAAGUGGCCAAUAUAUUUCAUUCCCUAUUAAGUAGCUUUGUUUCCACAUUUAGAAGUUCUGUUUUUAGAUUGCCUAAUUUUAUUAUGAGCAUCAGAAGAGAAACUAGUCAAGAGCCAAGUGAAAUAUUUAAUACAUAGGUAGAGUUAAGUUGUAUUCAAGUUGACUUGCUAUUCUACUUGGUUUGGACGUUUAUGGUGGCCACCCAGUCUGUUAUUUCUCUUCCACUCUGAAAAUUCCCCGUUGGAUCUCAUGGUUUUCUGUUUCUAUCCAUAUUCAUUUUAUUAUUCAGACUAUUAUGCAGGGAAUGAAGCCACCAAAUCUUAGGUAUGUGUACUACUCAACCAUGCCUAAUAUGUUAUAGGAUCCAAGUAUCUGAAUUGUCGUAGUUACUAAUGUUCUAUUUGUAGUUUUUAAUUAAUUUAUUUUUUUCCCUUUUUAGUUGAUUAUUUGUUUUUCCAUCAAGGAGUUAUUGAGAAAAGAGCAAAAUGAUAGAAACUUUGGAAUCAUAUAACUUCUUGUUUCAGAAAAUGAUAGAAACUAUAUGACCAACAGAAGAUUUUUUUCUUAAAAUCCUUCCAAUAAAUAGAUUCCUCAAAGACAAUUACGGAAUUGCAUAGACAUGGAACAAUAUUUUUCUUAUUCUAUCCUGAAAAGUUGCAUUUAUGUUUCAUUUACAUAUCCAUCAUUAUGUAAGUUUAAUCAUAAAUCUGACUAUCACAUUUAUUUUUUAUGUUGUUGUAAGGAUAAAGGAUUUGAAGAUGGAAAACUGAUUAUUGUAGGACUGAGAAGUAAAUGCAUAAUUACAAUUGGAGCAGCAGGAUUCUGCUGAGGUGGUCAGAACGGAUACACACAUUGAGAGAAAGUGGGAUGAGAAGCAUGAAUGAUGACCUUUUUGGUUGUCCUGUAUAUGUUUUAUGUUUUUUGUCUUAAGGAUAAGAUGACUCAAUUUUGUUUCUUGUACCAUUUUUAGAUGAAUGUUUAGUCAUGAUGUGAAGCCCACUGUCGCUCAAAUUGUUCUUACUUUGGCUCUAAUACUCAACUUCUAUAAUGAUGAUAUUUCAGGGAUUUAGUUAGAAUUAGUUGUACCCAUUUAAUUUGUACACAUAAUAUUUUUGCAUAUUUCACUAGUAUGGUUACAAAGUCUUCUUGCAAUUCUGGGUGUCCAAUAAAUGAAGCCGCCACUAGUAUGGUAUGACAAUUUUAGCACGGUACCCUUACCAGUGAAUCCAGUAUUACAUUCAUAGUGAAAAGUUAAGAGUUCCUAUCAUUUGAUUGUCCAUGAUUAAAUUUUAUUGUCCAAUGAAUCCACUAGUAUGGUAUGCUUUUGAUCAUUUUUAAUUGCAUUAAUUUUCCAUUAUCCAAAUAUAAUUUAUAUCAAAAGAAACAAACAUAGUUUAAAUAAUUAGAAAUUUAUUAUAGCUUAUAUUGACAAAAUUUGUACAUAUUAGCUUAAAUUUAAAUUUGGAAAAUGCUAAAAUUUAAUUUUCAUAGAUAUAGUUGUUAGAUUUACGUCUCAAAUAAAUUUUAUUCCAAAGCAUAUUAUGUAUAAAAAAUUCUCAAUUUCUCUAAUGUUGUCAUCUUUAAUGAACAAAUUGUCUCAUGCUCCAAACGUUUGAGUAAGCAUUUUCAGUUUAACAAAAUUGAUAAUAAUAAUCACAUAGUAUAUGUGAACAGUACGACAAAUACAUGACUACACAUUGAUAUCCAUAACACAUUUCCACAACCUAUGUUAAACUAGAUAUUACAAUAAGCAAAACACAUGCUACAAGGAAGCCAGCAAAGAAAAUGAUUACAUAUGUAUAUGAAAUAUUUUGCAAGGAAUGUUGAUUAUCAACUGCAAGUUCAAACUUUUGUUUUCCAACAAAUAAACAUUCUUCACUUCUCUUCCAUCUUGGUGCAUAGAACACCCAAGCUCGGACAGCUUCCUCUCUAGAAGUAUAUGAUUUGUAAGCACUCCCCUUAUAAAGGAGCACAUUCUUUUGACAUUCAGCCUAAGAAUCGUACACUCCAUGUCUACGACCCAUAAACACUACAUAAUAUGUUUGCUUGUUCGUCAUUUGAUGACAUAAUUGUUGUUGGUUAAUUUUUGAUAAUCAAUCAACUAAUAACUAUUGAAAAAUAUUGUACGAAACAUAUAUAAUUCACACAUGUGUACCACAUUGUAGGAUAAUAACAGUGAUGAUAAACUACAAAAUUUAAAAUAUAACAAGUAAUGUGCAGGAUUUAAGAUCCGAGGCUUGAGAUAGGUAGAACCCAACUUUAACUAAAGUAGCACUACAAGAAAAAAAGGGAAUAAUGACGCUUUUUAAGUGUCAAGGAAGGCAAAAGAUGACGCUUCCCUCAAGCGUCAUCUCCUAGCCUGUCAUUAUAGGUUUCAAUUAACAAUGACACUUAUAAGGAGCGCCAUCUUUGAUUUUAUGUUUUCUAUGACACUUCUAACAAGUGUCGUCUUUGAUUAAUAUUAACAAUGACACUUCUAAAAGUGUCAUCUUUAAGUGUUUUCUAUUAAAGAAUUUUUACAAAAUUAUCAAUCUUAACACUUAUAAAAGCAUCAUCUUUGACUUAUUUUAACAAUGACACCUAUAAAAACGUCAUUUUUGAACAUGUUCUAAUAAAAAAUUGAUUUUAUUUUUUUAUUAAAAUAAUGAAUUUCCUAUAAUUAAAUUAAAGAAAAAACAAUUUUACACCAUAAAAUUGAAUAAAACUUUACCAAUUAAAAUUUCCAAAAACUAAUAUACAAUUACCUAUAUAAUGAUUACACACAAAUUGUUGGACUAUAAUUUACAAUUCUUUUAAUAUAAGAACAAAAGCUAAGGAAAAAAAACCAUUAAAAUAAACCAUAAUAUGCAAAAACCUAAUUCAACCUCCUAAUGAGUUCAAUCACGUAAUCUUCAUGAUUUUUGGAAUCACUUUCUUCAACGUGACAAUUUUUCUUCUUUUGACACCUUGAAGAUCAUAUUGAUUUCAUUUGCAACCUGUAAACAAAAGAAGAAAAAAAAAACCUUUAAAUUAUACAUAUAACAACCAAUAAACAUUAUUAAAACUAUGACCUUCAUAGAAUUAAUUUAGACUACUCAAGCUUGCUCACUAACCUAAACUUUAAAGUUAAAAAUAAAAAUAAAAUAAAUAAAUAAUUUUCAUUGUUGUACCAUAUUAUGCUUCCACUUGGUUUACUUUGGUAAUAUUCUAAAAGUACAAAAUUAUUGAAUAAACAUUUAAGUCAAUUCCUAAGAUUUAUGUUUUUCUAAUUUACUACAACCUGGAUUAUCAUUCUUUACCACAGAAUUAUUUUAAUAAUGGAAAAAAAAUGUGUGAAAAGGAAGAGAGGUCCUUGAGCUCCUAAAAUUAGGAGUAUCUCAACUUCAAUGAACUUUAAGAAAUGGUUUACUGGAAAUUCUAAUAGAUGGAAAUACACCCCACAAAAAGCAUUGAAAAGCUAAACUUAGAAAGAAAAUAACAUUACCUUAACAUUUAUACUAAUAAGUGGAGGGAUCAAAAUACAUAUUGUUCCAUGGAAAAAAUAAAAGUACUAGAGUUAUGCUAUACAAUCAUCAUGAGAUUAUACUAUAAGAGACAUGCUUUUAAAAACAUUUAAAAGUUCAUAAGAUAAUUAAGUUGAUGAAAAAGUAAGUCAUAUAUGAGAACUAUGAAAAUUAAUAUAUAAUUAAAUAGCUUAUAAGACUAUAUGUAUGAUAUAGAAAAUCUUAUCUUGAAAGUCAUAACAGAAAAACAAUUUUCAUUCUAUAAUGUGAACAAAAAUUUAUACUUCAAAGAGUUGAGAAUAAAAAAAACAAAUAAAAUUUUAGAAGACAUCCUUAGCAAAGAAAAAGUGUAAAACAUAAUAAGAUAUUGAGAUCUUCUUGUCUCUAUAAUACAACUAUCUUUGAUGUUUACAAUAUAUUGGAAAAUUCGAGAUGUAAAUAAAAUAACUCAAUACUAAAUACUAAAAAUUAGCCCACUCAUCUUAGCUGUUACAUGCAUUUUCGAUGCAACCUGGAUGUCAAUUCACUCCAUUAGUGGGGUUCAUGUUUUGAAUUUGAAGACCAUUACACUAUUAUUUAUUUAUUUAUUUGAGUAGAUUUUCUUUUCCUUUAAAAAAUAAAAAAUAAAAUAAGAAUAAGAUCCCACGUAGCACCAUUUAAUUGAUUAACAAGUUAAUAACUACUCAAACACUGAUCAAAGAUAUAAAAUAAAAUAGCACCUUAAUAAAAAAAUAAGAGGCUACUUUUGCUAGAGGUUCGUUGAACUUGUACAAUGAUAGAAAAAACAGAAAAAAAUUGAAGAGGCUAGUUUGAAUAAUAAAAAUAAGAGGCUGGAUUGGAUAAUAGAAAUUUUUGUGUGGACAAAAAAGAUUCAAUGGUCAAGAAUCAAUUCAAGCAUCUCUGAAAAGUCUGACCAACCAUUUGAUAGGAUUAUGCGAGCAGCUACAAGGAUAAUGCAAAUAUAGGCAAGCUAUUGUUAUUUAACAAGCCCCCAAACAAAUAGGACCAUGAAUUCUAAAUCUUUGAAUCUCCUAAAUCCAAGAGCUUCCCUGCAGCCACUUUGUGCUUCUAACUUUAUCCAACAACCAUUCAGAUAAAAUAAAACACAAUAUGUGAGCAGCUACAAGGAUUAUGCAAAUAUAGGCAAGAAUAUUGUUAUCUAACAAACAGAUAGCACAAUUGGUCUUCUCAUAUUUCCUAGUUCUUGAAGCUUGCAAAUCUAAAAACUAAGCCUACUCUGUACAAAUAACACUCAUAAGGAAUAGGUUAAAAAUUGGGUAGCCUAAUUUAAUUUGAUACUAGUUUAUACAAGCAGCAGAGCUAGAGAAUAAUAUGUUGGGCCUGAUCCCAACUAUUUGGCAACAAUGCAAAUUCUAUUUAGCUUUAUCCUUGCCAAUGGAAUUUCUAACUGCUAAGCAUCAUAUAGUAAAUAUUUUAAACCAACUCUAAACAAAAUCAAAUUCUAAACCAAAUUAUAGAAUUUUCUAUGUUAAAUUUUAUAAUUUGACAAUACAAACAAUGCACACAAUAAUGAUCUAAACUUAAACUAAUAUUAAGCUUCCACAAAUAGGAUAUAUCAUUAAUCAAUUCCAUAAAUAAGGUUAUGGAAAGGACCACACAAUAGAUUCAUAAUAAAACCUACUUUUGACAAAUGCUCUGUAAUCAGGAUCAUGCUCACAGAAAAAGUUAUCAUCAUCUAGCAUUAUAUUUCUUUAACAUUAACUCAAACAAAUUCAUCAAACUGAGAAAACAGGAAAGAGAAAGUAUAAUCUAACAAACAUUGUAACACGAUCAUCAUAAAUUUGUCUUCUAAUUACAGUUUUAACAACCCAUGUUCCACGCCACUUGACUUUUUCAGAUUCACCAAAUAGACCCUGGCAAGUAACAAAAAUAGAAAUCUCUAUAUAAUUGCUUCACAUGGAGAAAAUGAUUGGAAAUAGCUUCAGAAUGAAUGCAUAAAAUGAAUAGAUAAAUAAUCCAAAACAACAGUCCUUAAUUCAACAUUAAAUAACAAAUACAUCAUGAGAUUUUGGUUGGUAAACUGUUCAAGGAAUGAAAAGAUGACCAGAGUCUGUACAAAAAUAUUUUUGGUAGGUCACCUCUUGUCCAAAAGUAUUGUAUGGCGCUUAAUUAUUGCACAGAGCCAAAAUCAUUAACAUAAAAUAAAGUUUUAGGAUAACUUAUUGUGUUCCUUAGUUUAAAUGGUAGACCAAGCCAAACAAUGAUAGCACUAUGACUGUUCUUUUACUAGGCCAAGACUAUCACAAGACCAAGCCAACAAUUAUAACAAUACGACUUCAUUUUUAUCACACCCAAGCUAUCACUAAACAUAACACAGAUGGAAGUCAUUUUACCUUUUUUUUUUAGCAUUAAUGGAAGGAUUUUAACCCUGUAUAUUGUGAUCAUUGUGCUCUUGAUACAUAUUUCAUAAUCUUUUUAUAUGACAGCUUCUUAAAUAUUUUUUGCAAUCAGUAGGACAAUCAGACAGUAAAACUCCCCUGACAUACUCUACCAAGUUACAAAAUGGUUGUUCAAAGAGUUCAAAUACAGAAAUAUUUUGUGGCAGUUAAAUAUUUCCAUUCCAUAUUCUUGACUGGGAAGUAGCAGUUAAAUAUUUCCACACAAUAUUCUUGACCAGGAAGUACACUUGAGUAACAAGAUCCCAAAUCCUCUGGCACAUUAAACAAGUAAAAAGCCUCUAUUAGCUAGUGAUUGCAAUCUAUGUUAGAAGUAAAACUUGUGAGAUUAGUUAAAUUCAGGAAAAAGAAGAGGAAGAAAAAAGGAGAAAAAGAAAAUAAAUUAAGGUUUAGGUUUGUGUAACUUGAUUUCCCUGUACUUUCCAAUCUAUCUAUAUUACCAAGGGGUAUUCUAUCUUACCUCUUAUUUUGCCCUUAAGACCCAUUUCUUUACCUACCUCACCAAACCCAUACAUCACCUUAAAUUUUUGAAAACUCAUAAAACCCCCUCUCAAAUGCUCACCUUCUUCCACAUCUUCCUCAUCUCAAAGACUCUCAUUUGAAAUCCCUCUCCUUCCAACCCACAAAGCUCAUAGAAAUCAUGAAAGGACUUUUCCAUUGAAUCUUUUCUAAAAUCAUAUUAGAAUACUAUUAACACCAAAAACAUGCAUGGUUCAUAGCUUUAAUUCCUUAAAGCAACAUUUCUCAAUGCUCAUAUGCAAGCCUGUGAUCAACCAAUACUAUUAUUGUAGUACACAUUUAAAAUUGGACAAGGAAAAAAAAGACAAUUUAUUAUAAAAAUACCACUACUGAACAGAGAAUCCAUCUAUUUGUUUCCUAAACAAAAUACGGAAGAUAAAUAAAACAAAAACGAAGGGCAACAAAUAUAUAUAAUGGAGAAAUUGACAUUUCAUAAACGGAAGCAAUGACAACCUUGGGAAAAAUAAAAUUAACAGAGCAAACACAGAAACCAGAAACAUAUGUUAAAAACCAUCAACCAAAAUUCAAUGAAUGGAAGAAAAAAGUGGAAGAGAUUCAAUUGUAACCUUAAUAAAGUUACUGUAACUCAAUAGAUAUGGAAUAAAUAUUAUACACAUGUAGACUUACCUCAUAGAUGAGGUGCCAUAGAUUCCUAUUUUUACAAUCCUCAUGAUUCCUUGAAUUUUCAAUUUUUUUUUUUUUUUUUUUUUGCCAUCAAAACCCACUAAUGAAAGUCAUUUAUGCUUCUAGAGCACCAUCUAGUUGGAUCAUUUCUCAAACUUUCCCUUUGCAGGUAUUUUAAUUUUCAUUAACAACAUCUAGUUUUUUUUUCUUUUCUCUAAUCUAAGUUGCAGAAUGGAUAACUCUUGUCAAUAAGUUGCCAUAUAGAUGGUGGAUUAGACUUCUCAAAAUCAAAAGUCCCACUAAAUGAUUUUGAUGAAUUUUCACUAUCCUUUAAAAAAUUCUGCUACUGCUUAGACAAACAUCUAAGUAUCCAAAAUGAUAAUUUUCAUUAAAGUGAAAACUUGAAUUCAAGAACUGAAAAACCUAUAAGACUGAACUUCAAAUCCUGGAGUUCAAAAUGCUAAAUGUCCAAAUCUAAUAACCAAAGCCUUAUCAAAUCUCUAAAGAACUAGAAAAUUUUAGGAAAAAGGAAAACUCUUAUACUCAUAAAGGAGAAAAAAAAAACCAAUGCCACUAGUAUAGAGCAACAACAAAUGAUUAAAAAUCUAAAAGUCUAACACUAGAACAAUAAAUUGAUAGAAACUUAGGAUUAAUUUUGCUAAAUGAUUCCUUAAUUUGUAAAUUUUAAUAAACUUAAUACCAAAAACAGAAACAUUUUAACAAACACAUUAGAAAUCUAACUUUCACCUAAUUGAGAGCUAUGGCCCCACUAAAAAACCCACCAAUCUAUAAGGAACCCAGUUCACCAAAAUCUCUCCCAUCCCUGAACCAGUAGCCUCAUUUCCCUACGAUCAACAUCCUCACUGUAGGACCCAUAAAUGAGAACAACCCAUUGUGUAAAACUGUCUCAUAUUAGAAUCACCAACCCCAUUUGUGAUCCACACAAAAAAUCAAGUUCUACCAUUACAUUAGAAAAAUAAUCCACAAUCCUAACCUUUAGCGUACCAAUAAAACAUAAAUAUCCAAUCCUACAAAUUAAAUAAAUCAAAUUCCAAUAUUAAAUCACAAGCACAUUAAAAACUAAAAGAAAAAAAGCAUACAAAACAAAUAAUAAGAACUAGAAACUAAAAUUUGCACCUGAGAAUGAGCUAAAAUUUGUUCCAAGCCCUUAUCAUGCAUACUCGUAGGUUAGAUAAUAACAGAUGGUGAGGAACAAAGUUUCACAUGGAAAUUACAGAGGAUGAGGUAUUCGAAAUGUCAAAUAAGGUGGGGGUUGAAGAAAAUGAAGGGAAAUUAACAUAAAGACCUGAUAGUUGAUAUCUAUAAGCAAUAGAGGCUUCUAUCUCUCUAGUGCGAAAUCACAAAGGCUGUGACACCAUCAAAAAAGAAUUAUAGAAGCUUUAAUUCCAGAAAAAGCAUGAGAAAAAAUAAACCCUAAAGAGAGGGAUUUACCUGUGUUGAUUAUUUGAAGAAGUUCCCAAAAUCUUGGUGAUGGUAGGUCAAUUAGGGCCUCUCGACAGUGGAGUUCAUCUAUGAAGAAGGGUUAGGGCUUCUUCGUUCUAGAUUUCUUCAGUGAUGGAGACAUAUGUUAUUAACGACAGUUAUUUUCUGAUGAAAGGUCAUCAGCAGUGGCUAAUAAACGUAGAUAUUUAACUUGCCAAUGAUGUUUAUCGAGGUUAUCCUCUUGAGUGUAGAAGGAGCGUCCCGACUAGUUGAUGUUAUCACCGAUGCGGUGACAAAUGGGUUUCUACUGGUUGCCAUUGAGUUUGCCGAUGGUCUUUGUCGUGGCUGUUGUUAGUAGAUUUGGGGCUAGGGUUCCUAUCUAUGAUAUCGAGGGUUUGUUAAAUUGGAAAAGAUUGGGAAAAAGAAGGGUAUAUAUAAACUCAUAAAUAAUGACAUUUAUUACAAAUGUCAAUGUUACUCCAACAAACAAUGGCACUUAAAAAAAGUAUCAACAUAUUUAAAGCGCCAAUGAAACCUUUGAAGAAGCGCCAACUUUCAGCUAAAUUCUUUAAGCGCCAAUAUAUUUAUUCAAAAAACAUCAUUGUUAGUCAAAUUUCUAUAAGCGCCAUUAUUAAUACAAUUCCUUGACGUUUCUUGCAAGCGCCAAGGAAAUGAACGUCAUUGAAUAUAUUUUUUGUAGUAGUGUAGUACCUAAGGUCCCUUAAGGUAGUACCCAAGGUAGACUAAGAUGGUACGUAACGACUAUUAAGGUAGUACCUAAGGUACAGUUCGUAAAAAACCAAAGGUGAACCACUUGCCCACACAAAGAAUCGCAUAAUGGAAUGGUCUAANNNNNNNNNNNNNNNNNNNNNNNNNNNNNNNNNNNNNNNNNNNNNNNNNNNNNNNNNNNNNNNNNNNNNNNNNNNNNNNNNNNNNNNNNNNNNNNNNNNNGCUAUUUAGGUAGUACCUAAGGUACAGUCCGCAAAAAACCAUAGGUGAACCACUUGUUCACACAAGAGGAUCACAUAAUGGCAUGGUCUAAGGGUUACAAAGGAAGGUCCAAGACUUGGGAUAUGUAGAACCCAACUUUAACUAAGGUAGUACUCAAGGUAGAUUAAGGUAGUACUAAAGGCUAUUUAGGUAGUACUUAAGGUACAGUUCGUAGAAUAACAAUGCGACUUACAACCUUUUGCGCUUGUUAGAGCUCGCUAAGUCCAUUGAUGUCCAAGGCUCUUUCAAAAACCUGCGAUUGAGUAAGCUUUGACAUGCCACCCUUUUCUAUAUUCAUACUUUGCCAUGGUAAGGCUCUCUUACUCUCAGUUAAUAAAUCUCAUACUCUGAAGAAACAAUAGCUACUGGAAGUGGAAGUUUUUGAUGCUCAAGCCCAAACUCAAAUCUACUAUACAAAAUAAAAUUAUUUAUCAUUUAAUGGUGAAGUUUUGAGACUAGAGGAUCUCAAUAGAUAUGAGAACUUAUUCAACAUGAUAAAAAGAAAUUGCAUAUUUGAGACUAGAUGUUGAUUCUGGCAGCUCAUAUUCAUCAACUUAUCGCAACAAUUCAAGCCAGAAUGAAUGGGUCCUACCUAUUAAUUCCGAGAGACUCGAAAUUAUACCUCUUCAACUCGGCUAGUUACUUAGUGUUCUUACGAUAAAGUGCUCCAUUUGGUUGUUGAGAUGAUGUAGAUAGAUUGGAGGUUUUAGGGUUUCUUUUACUAAAAUGAGAGAAAGAAAAUUGGGUGUUUGGGAAAUUUUAUAUUCUCGGGUUGGGCAUGAGGAUCUAACCCUGCAUCAUUAACUUUUAGAUUUUUGUGUUUUAUUAAAUUUCAAAUAUAUCUUGUAAAAUGGUACUCUAGGAAGAGAAAAGGGAUUAAGCACAGUGCACACAAGACAGAAUAUUUUCCAUAUUGAUGGUCAAAUAUGAUAUUCCACGCUCGUGGGUUUGAAUAUCAUAAUAUUUUCAAAUAAGCAAUUGAAAAUGUUGAAUCAUGAAUAUCUAGUAGCCAGAAGUGGAGGUUAGCGUGUAACAUCAAUACUUCAAUAAAGUUGGACAGAUUAGGACAAUCAAAGUCAGAUUUUCAAAGUGGUGUGUUUUCAUUGAUUGAAUGAGAAUAGACGCAAAUGGUUGAGAAUUCGUAAUAGUCCAAAAGAGUAGUACAGAAGUCAGAGAUGGCGUCCCAUUUCCAGUUGUCACUAAAAGAUUAAAUUAUUUUUCACUCAGCAUCAUCUACUGCACGCAAGUGUUAAAAAGACAAGCAAAACUACUUUAAAACUAAAGUGUUUUUUUUGUAUAUGAUCACUUUUGUCGUGGAGAUACGAAUAAAAGGUCACGAUAUGAUAAAGAAUCUUUAAUAUAUAUUUUUAUUUUAAAUAAGGAAUCAAAAUAUAUUAAUAAACAAAAAAGAAAAAAAGGGUUUCAUUUUUUUUUCUGUAUUUUAAUGUUAAUUUAAUGAUAUUAAAAAAAUCCAUAGAUAAUUUAUGGUAAAUGGUAGGCUGGGGUGAACUCAUGAAGGAAAAUGGUUGAAGGGGAUAUUAUAUGAAACUUAUUGUAGGGACCAGAAUAGCAUCAAAGCAGCUAAUUAUUUGAAAAUUUAAAGUCAUUUUUUUUUAUAGGGCAGAGAAUAAGGGCACACCAAGCAAGUUUAAGGAGUCCAAGUUGUAGAGCAUAGCAUAAACUUAGCCCGUGUCUGGCUUCUUGCUUUUUUUUUUUUUUUUUUUUUUUUUUUUGUAGAGCAUAGAAGUGACAGUUUUGUGAUUGUGACUCCUCAUGACUACCCAAUCGAUUAGCAUAAACUUCAGGAAUAAUCUUUGCUGCCAUAGAAGUGGCAGUUUCGUGUUUGUGACUCCUCAUGACUACCCAAUCGAUUAGCAUAAACUUCAGUAACAAUCUUUCUCACCAUCUGGCUUCUUGGAGGUCCGGACAUAAGCACUCUUAUAAAAAAGUAAAAUUUUACCUUAUUUUCUGAAAAUUUUGAGGAAAUGAAAAAAAGAUAUAUAUAUUUCUUUAGUUAUUUAUGGAAGAGAGUCGGCCUACUUCUAGCCGUUCAAGCGAUUAUGCCUGUUCUAGCCCUACCAUCAGCCCUUAUCAUAAUCAAAAGGGGUACUUUAGAGCUGAUCUGUAACGGAUCAAAGCGAUCGUUAGUCGGGCUAAUCUGUGAUUGGUCAAGGCGACAAAGAAGACACAUACCUCUUUCAUAUUCCUUAAAUGGGCAAGACUCAGGUACUGCAUGUGAGAAGUAUAAUAGUUUAUUGAACAACUACUUAGAUCUUGAUUGAUUUGGAUGCAAUGGAAUUUUUUCAUUACUCCAAAAAAAACCAUCCCAUGAGUAUACAUGACCCCACUACAUGUAUAAAGCGUACAUCCCUACUUAGGGAGUAGGUCAAAGCUUUUUAUAAGAAAAGUCAAAAGCUAGAAUCCGAGAAGAAGACAAAACCCCCUAAGAGCGUCUUGUAAACCAAUUAUUCGAUCUGGAGAUCCCAACAAGGCUGUCGGAGACAUCACUAAGCCUAGGGAUGUCUCUUGCAAAGAAGAAUUCGUAUAGAUUUUCCCAAAACCCCAGUCUAGCCUACCUGAAAAAUAUAAUCUAUAAUCCACUCUCCACCCUUAUUAGUAGUAAGCGAAUAGUGACCCUAUUUGUAUGCGCAUUCACACAACAGGCACGUUCCAAGAUCUCCCGCAAUGAGAACCUAACACAUGGUUUAUUGAUAGUAAGCUGAUUAAAUAAAUGGAUUAUAGGUUGGUUGAAUAUUGAGUUCGGCUUAGGCUACGUGUUCUGUUUACGCACUACUAAUCCGCACAUAGGAUCUUAGACAUGUUUCAUCCCCUUUCAGGAACACCUUCUUACUAGUAGGGGCUAAGCCUGAUGCAAAUAUACCGAGAAAAGAAGAUAUCUAUGGUUGAUUCUAUGAAAAGUAGAUUCGCCCCUUAUCUUAUGUUAUGGCUCGUCUCGCGCUUAGUCACUCGCGGGAUUUAGAUAGGAGAAUAGCAAGUCUUUUCGGAAAUAACUCACAGUUAUCCCCCUUAUUUAGAAUAUAUAUAUAUUAGAUACUCACUCUUUGGUUGGAUCGGAUAGGGACUUCUAUAAAGAUCUUUCCACUCAUUCAUCAUUACUUAAAGUCGAAGUCACGGCAUGGGGGACUCGGAAAAAGAACAAGAAUCGAUGUCGUGGUGGUGCUACGAGAUGGCAAUUUAUCAUAUAGAAGAAUAGAUCUGUGGACCUAUUGAUUGACCAUAGAUGCGAACUGAUUGAACGCUAUCUAAGAUAAGAUAAGUAGUUCUUCUAUCAUUCAAGGGCAAGGAGAGAACAUGUAGCGGCUUGCCUAGAUCUCGUAUUUCCCAUGUAGUCCGUCGGUCAAACCAAUGAUUCUCUUCUCAAAGUAAUAGAGAAAGUCUUUUUCUUUUUCUGGUAUGUAGCUCCACGAGCUAGGAGAGCAUCAUCGGGGCAGGGCAAAAACAAACAUAGGAUCAUCAUGAUGGCCCUUUUUUUGUUUCUUUUGUUUAUGUCAGGUCUGUUGUGUGUGUGUGUGUGUGUGUUUUUUUAAGGCUUAUCUGGGGGCUGCUGCUCUGGGGCAUCCAAUUCCUCUUCUUUAUUUUGCUAUUGAUCUCACAUUGAGAGUUGCUCCUUCUUGUUCAGGAUCAUUAAAUGAGAGAUCUUCCUCCAACUCUGAGAAAUCGGUUAAGCGGGAGGCUACCCUUGACUCACCUCUCUAUCUAUAAAAAAAAAACCCCUCCCUCGAGGAGAGCAGAAGCUCCAGGAUGAGUAUGUCAUGGAUUCUUGGAUUCAUUCUCGCCCUAAUCCACCAUGGAAUUUUCGGAAUCUACCAAAACAUUCUAGGAGAGGGUUCAUAAUGAUCUUCUCAAAUAUCAUAAGGUGCUGAAGUGGCAGGAUAGGGGGGGAGGGGGUCUGUAGGUUUUUGUGAAAAAAAUGCUCUUAUCAUUAUUGCUGAAAACAAAAACCUAAUUCCUCUAUUUGAUGUUGAUUCAUUCACACUUCCAUUCCUUGUAGAGGAAGGCUAACUACUUGCUGGUUGGGAGGUGUAUGAGCGGUAACGUCCACGUACGACUCCGUGAGAAGGGAGAUGGAAUAAAAACCUUGUUGUACCUCACUCCCAUCUUCAAUGGGGUCUGCUCUAUUUUUAUUUUUUUUUGGGAGUAUGCAAAUAUGAUCUUAAUGAGGUGCGGGGCCUUGCAUCUGACAUUCAUUGGGCUUCCCUCUUUGGGAGCUUGCGUCCUAGCGUUUUUGUGCAAUAAACCCCUCCAAUCGGAGACUAAUGGUAGGUGGUCCCGCGGAGCUUUCGGAGAAGGGUAGCCUAGUGUGUAAGCACAACAAUAAACCGUGGCAAACCCUCAAACGACCUAUCUAAGAUUAGGGGGGAGAUCCUCAGUAGCGGUGACCCUUUCACUCUUCCACAGACUGAUACAUGUACCGAAUGCUCAUACGGGAAAGUUAAAUCCUAGGUUUGGAACCUUGGGGGUUGCUCCGAGAAAUCAUUUCUUUCUCGUCCACUCAAGGAGGUGUGGACACACUUACGCGGAUUAUAGGUGACAGUUACAAGAAUGGCGGGGAAUUGAACAGUACCCGACAACAUUCAGGGAUGGAUGUAGACCCAUGGGGCAGGGAUAAUCAUUUCGGUCUUGGGAGAGGUGGCGACCAUUCUCAAGAACCAAAAAGACUGAGCUGAGGGAAACCCUAUGAGUCACUAAAACGACGACGGCAGGAGGGUCCUUGAUUUAUCAAUAGAGGGAGCAAAAAAAAAAGUUUUGCUCCUCUUUACAAUAUGAAGACAGAAAUAAGGGUCGAAGUUUAGACCGCUUACAGUGGUUAUACCUAUAGAAAAGAUCAUGAAAGAGGCGAUCAGAAUGGUACUCGAAUCCAUUUACGAUCCCGAGUUUCCAGACACAUCGCACUUCUGCUCGGGUUGAGGCUGCCACUCGGCCCUAAGACAGAUCAAAGAAGAGUGGGGAACCUCUCGUAGGUAUUUGGAAUUCGACAUCAGGAAUUGUUUUCACACCAUCGACCGACAUCGACUCAUCCCAAUCUUUAAGGAAGAGAUCGACGAUCCCAAGCUCUUUUACUCCAUUCAUAAAGUCUUUUCCGUCGGACGACUCGUAGAAGGUGAGAAGGGUCCUUAAGGGAAAUGAAGCACGAUGGCUCUUUGCAUGCUAGUUCACAAACAUCAUAGUGGAAACUAGAAACAUCACAUUUUGUAAAUAAACUAGGAAAAAUUUCUUCAAAUAACCAAAGGAAGCAUGCCCCAAAUAUCAAUGACAUAAUCAAAUGUCAAAUUUCUUCUUCUACCCAUUAGAGUUAUCCAUUGUUAAAGAUUGAUGUAGCUUAUUGGAACUCUUUGACAUCAAGUCUAAGCAAUACAACUUCCCUCGCUUAAUACCAUAACCAAUCAUAUGCCUUGUUUGGAUGUCCUUAAAUACACAAAAUUUAGGAUAAAAAAUCACAACAAAAGACAAGGUCGUGGUUAUUUGGAAAAUGGACACGAGGUUAUAAUCCAAAGAUGAAACAACUAAAAUAGAAUCUAAAUUCAAAGCAUCAAUAAGGGUUAAGGAUCUUUGCCCAAUGAUUGGGGUCAAAGUACCAUUGGCAGUAGAAACAAUUUUUUGUGAAGAUAGUUUAAGAGGUGAAAUUUAUCUAAAAUCAAAUAUCUUAUCAUGUAUAGCACCAUAAUCAAUUAUCCAUGCAUAAUUAAAAGAAAUUGUAGACAUAUUUAAAGCCUUAUUAUUAUUGUUUGUAACUACUACCAAUGCUAAGGCCUUUUCAACAACUUCAUCCUUAGUCUUUCUUUCAACAAUUUUGGUAGUAGAGAUCUCAUUAGAAUUCCAAUUUUGUGGAUCACGACUAUAAUCCCACCAUUCUGGAUAUUCCACAAGCUCAAAACAUCCAUUUUUGUUAUGACUAGUUUGAUUACAAUGAGUGAAUUUGUAGGUAGACUUUUUGACACCAUUGGUGGCUUUAGGAUGAUUAGGCUUCAUUCAUCUUGUUGGUUUUGAGAAGAUCAUUUUUGGUUAAACCAAUUUCUAUCUAACAUAGCGGAAGCUAAGAGUUUUUUGACUUGCCUUUCAAAGUGGUGUGUUGUACUACCUCACAAUGAACCGGAGAAUAACAUUCCUCCAAAUCUAUAACUUGUUCUUUGCACAAAAUCUAAGGAUUUGUUGAAAAUCACCAUCAAAUCUAACUAGAAAUAUGUGUAUCCUUAGCUAUUCAAUAGAUUUCUUGUACACUACAAUGUCAUUGACAUCCUUUAUGACAACUUUAUUACGAUGACCUAAUUCUUAAAAAAAUUUAACCAACACUCCAUAAUAUUUAAAGAGAUUUUUCCAUUUGUUUGGGGGUAAGCAUAAAUAACGCUUCAUAAUUUUUGGAGUCGUAAACUCAAUAGCCACCUCUUGACUUUCUAAUUUUCAACAUACUACUUCUCAUGUCCAUCUUUCGAUUUUGUAGGUAACUUUCUCUUGCCGCAAAUGUAGGAGAGUUUCUCUCUCUUAGCAAUAUGCAUCUCCAUCAAUGGGGACUAAACAUCAUAAUUUGAUUUAGUAAGUAUGAUUCAUGCAUUGAAAAUGCCUUUAGAUUAAUUUCAUCCUAAACGAUUGAAUAUUUUUUUCGCUCAUUUUGAUAUAGAGGGAAAGAAUUACAAGGAUUUGAAAUCUUACUCUAAUACUAAAUAGGGAAGAAUUUUUUUCAUUCUUAUUUUUUUAUAUAUAUAGAUAGAAAUUAUAAUCAGGAAACUUAAAAUCAAUCCCUGCAAUCAAGUUUAAUUGAUUUGUUCACACCUAUUGUACACCGAUAUUUUCUCUAAAUUAGGAAAGAAUUAUCAAGCAGAUUACAAGAAUCAUUGACAAUCUUAACAAGUGGGAGAGCCACAUGAAGUAGGCGCUCCCAAAAGUAUUACUCAAGGAUUUUAUGGUUAUUAUAAGAUUACAUGAGGAGUUUUUGACAUUUUUUGUCCCCUUAAUUUAAUUUCCUAGCUUUACUACUCUAUAAGAAAGAAAAAAUUAUCCAUGACAAAAUAAUAGUAAAAUAGAGGAAAAAGAAAUGAAAGGAGAAAGACAAACACAAAGAAAGUUUACUUUUCUACAAUUUAUAGAUACAUUUGUUUUAGUAUGUUAAUGAUCAUGAGAUAACCUAUCAUAUUAUUUAUUUUUAUAAUUAAUUAAUUCUUGGAGAGAUUAUAAAUGUGAAUGGAUGAUAACACCACAUCAAUAUACCACUUUCUCAUAUAAGAUAGAUAGCUCAAUGAAAUAGAAAUUGUGGAAAAAAAUUAUGGGGUUGACACUCAAAACAUUAAUAUCAAGCUAGUCAAUGUAAAAUCAUGCAAAAUUGGGGGAUAAAGAGAGUAAUGUCUAGGGAAAGGUAUUACUAAUUAAGUCCAUAUAAAGUAGUAGAGCAUUCUUUGGAAACAUAGUAAGCCAGUUGAUAUUCUCUAGUAACACCUAUUAGUAAGCAAGUUCAUAUCAAAUAGUAGAAAUCAUAGAACUUGUAAUUACAAUUUAAUUAAGUGGACUUAUUAUAUUUUGAAUGGACAAUAUGACUAUAUUAUAUAAAUGUGAGAAUAUUGCAAGAGCAUAAGCAAAUAUAGGAGUUAAUUUGUAAAAAAAAAACAAUAUAUAUGUAUAUUAGGAUAAAAUAUAGAAAGUUUGUAGGUAGAGCUUAAUUGAAUAAGCUUAUUGAGUGUUGAGGAUUACUUUUGCGGAGAAAAUGCUUAGAAUUAUAACUUGUUUCGACCCUAUCAAUAUUUUGAGUCAAGCAAAAAAUAAAAGCAAAAAGAACGGGUAGAAAAAAGGAAGAUACAAUUUUAAGGUGGGGGAUAAAUAUGUAUACAUCUCAAUGCAGGGUAUAGUCUUUUGACAUUGUUUCGGUUUGUAAACUCAUUUGCAAUUGCAACCAAAAUAUUUUUGUUUUAUAGCAAUUGAACUUAGAUGGUGUUUGUUUUUUUUUUAAAAAAAAAAAAACUUAAUUUUAAAUACAAUUUGCUUUCAAAUUUUAGGGUUUGUUUUGGCAUGUUUUCUAAAAGUUGUUUCUAAAAACAUUUUUUUAAAUUAAAGAAUAAAAAACAGUUUUUUAAUGUUUUAUAAGAAUAAAGGUGUUUGGCAAGUUGUUUAUAAAAACAAUUUUUAAAGAUAAAAAACAAAUUAAAAAAAAAAAUUUUUUUUUUUUUUGGUUUUGUAAAAACAUUGAAAAUUCAAUUUACAUAAUAUAAAUUUAAUUUAAUUCAAGUCUUAUUAAAAAUAAAAAUAAUUUUGUAAUUACAAAUAAAUUAAAAAAUAAAUAAAUAGUUUUUAGUAAAAUAUGAAUAAUAAUAUAAUAAAAUCAAAAGUUAUAUCUUUUAUAAAAAUAUAUUAUUUUAGUAUAGGUAAGAAACAUAAUGAUAUUAACAUCUUCAUAAUUUUUUUAUUAAAAAUGAAUAAUGAUAAUAACAAUAUAAAAUAAUAAGUUUUAACAAUAUUUUAUUUAAAAUUAAUAAUGAAUAAAGUUUAACAUAUAAAUGAGUCAAGUUUUUCAUUUUAUAUACACAUUUAGUAUUGAAUUAUGAACAUAAUAUUCUAGAAUAUUUUGAUUUAAUAUGUAAUUAAUUAGAUCAAUUUUUAAUUCAAAAUUAUUCUUAAAAAUAAAAAAAUAAAAAUCAUUAAAGAAAUUAAAUUAUUAAUUAUAUCUUACUUAAUUUGUAAUUUCUUUUCCUAAAUUUAGAAAAUAUAGUUGGGUAUAAGAUAAACAAUAAAGUCAUGACUCAUAAUAUAUCAAUUUUGGUCUAUUAUUUUUUUUAAUGACUAGAUCCAUACAUUUUUUGUAUUAAUUGGUUCAUUAUUUGAGUUUCACAUUAUUUUUAAAAAUUAUAAAACUUUUUAAUGAAUCAAAUUAAUUAAGUCUUGUUUAAUUUGGGGUUUGUUUACCUAGUGAAACAAUACAAUGAUUUAGACUAAUUUUUGCCCAUAAAUUUCUAGUAUUAGUUGGUUUACUAUUUGAGUUUUAAAUUACUUUUAAAAAUUAUUAGGUUUUUUAAUGAAUCCAAUGCAUUAAGUCUUGUUUAAUUUGAAGUUCAUUUUUUCUAGUGAAAAAAAAAUCAAAAAAUAAUGAUUCUAUGUAGAAAAUAAAUAAUAAAAUCAUUUUAAAUCAAUUUUUGUCCAUAAAUUUUUAAUAUUAAUUGAUUCACUAUUUGAAUUUUAAGUUAUUUUUAAAAAUUAUUAGACUCAUUAAUGAAUCCAACACAUUAAGUUUGUUUUUUUUUUUCUAAUUUGAAAUUUAUUUGCCUAGUGAAAAAAAAAAAAAAAAGUAAUGAAUCCAUGUAAAAGAGAAAUAAUAAAAUUGUUAUACACCAAUUUUUAUCCAUAAAUUUUUUGUAUUAACUAGUUCACCAUUUGAGUUUUAAGUUAUUUUUAAAAAUUAUUAGACUUGUUAAUGAAUUCAACACAUUAAGUCUUAUUUAAUUUGGAGUUUAUUUGUCUAAUAAUUUUUUUUAUAUAAAAAUACAAUAUAUAUAUAUAUAUAUAUAUAAAGAAGAAACAAACCCAAACAUUUGAAAUAAAUUUUGGUCUAUGAGUUUUUAAUAUUAUUAAGUUUCAUGACUUUUUAAUACUAAUUAAAUCGAUUUUUGAGUUUCAAAUUAUUUUUAAAAAUUAAUAAAUUUUAUAUAUCAAGUACAUUUUAAUUUAAAAUUUAUUUGGUUAAUGAAAAAUAUUAGAGAAGUUUAAAUAAACUUAAAAUAAAACACAUGUAAUUUAAAAGAUUAUAUUUGAAGAUUUUUAUAUCAGUAUUAGAUCAUGAAGAAAGAAAGGGAAUGUGUGAACCCUGUAUUUUGCACGAUGCGUUCCCACUUGAUGGCGUGACUCGUUUUUUUUAUUUAUUUGGUGAAAAUUUGAUUUUUAGAAAAAGACUAGCCAAUUAUUUUUGUUUUAUUUUUAAAGGGAAAAACAAAAUAAGAAAGAAAACUCUAAGUGUGACUCCUAAAAGAAAAAUGGGUUUGUGAAAAACCGAGUCUGAGUUCGAAGGUCAAGUUACUUAUUGGGAAUAUACGAUUGUGAGUCGUAUUACCCCUCUUAGCCCGUAUACGUACAGCCUCUAUUAAACGAGGUGAAGCAAACAUGACAAUUAACUAGGAAAGUAAUGGAUACCAAUGAAAUGGUCAAAUAAUAAAACAAAUCAUGCAUAAGAAUAAGUAAAGUGGGAGUGGGAGUGCACCUAGGCAGCAAGUAAUAGUACGUUAUCAUGGAAACAAGGUUAGCUCAAACAUAAAAUCAUCACAUGCAUAUCAAAGAGCAAGACAAAGAUCAAAUAAUAUUCAUUAAACAUAACAAUUGACAAUUAGAAGAGAUCAUAUGUAGGGCCCCCACCAAAGCCCAAUAUAUUUUGCAUGAAUUAAUCUCACAAAUUCCAUUGCUUUUGAAAUUAUGAAAAAAUUAUUCAUGCUUAUUAAAAAUGGUGAAAAAAGAGAAAAUUAAAAACCAAAGAAAAACACAAGAUGCAUACCUGAAUAAAAGAUGGUAGCAAGUUUAUUAAAAAAUUAGGUUUUGGUGAAUUAGGAUUUUAAUGACGAAAGAAAGAGAAAGAAAUUAGAAAAUAACAAUAAUAAUAAUAAUAACAAUAAUAAUAAUAAUAAUGACAAAUAAAUAAAUAAACGAAUAAAAUAAAGUAAAACAAUAAAUAAAUAAAUAAAUUAUUAUAUGAAAGAUGAAUAAAUAAAAUAAUUAAAUUAGGUGGAUAAAAAAAUUAAAUAAAUAAAUUUAAAAGAUUUAAAACCAUUUGAAAGACAAAUUUUUGAAAAUCAAGUUUUGAAACUUAUUUGAAAAAUGAAGUCUCGAAAAUGAUUUGAAAAUUGGAGUUUUGAAAAUUAAAUUUAAGAAUUGGAAUUUUGAAGAAUUAUUUGAAGAUGGAAUUUUUUAAAAAUAAAUAAAUAAAUAAAUAAGAUAAUAAUAAUAACGAAAAUAAUAAUAAUUAAAUAAAUAUAUGUGAAAAUUGGAAUUUUGGAAUUUGGAAAUCGGAAUUUUGAAGAAUUAUUUAAAGAUGGAAUUUUAAAAAUAAAUAAAUAAAAUAAUAAUAAUAAUGAAAAUAAUAAUGAAUAAAUGAAUAAAUGCGAAAAUUGGAAUUUUGGAAAUUGGAAAUUAAAUUUGGAAAUCAAAAUUUUGAAAAAUUAUUUAAAGAUAUAAUUUUAAAAUAAAUAAAUAAAUAAAUAAAUAAUAAUAAUAAUAACGAAAAUAAUAAUGAUUAAAUGAAUAAAUGCGAAAAUUGGAAUUUUGGAAAUUGAAAGUCAGAAUUUUGAAGAAUUAUUUAAAGAUUAAAUUUUAAAAAUAAAUGAAUAAAAUAAUAACUAAAAUAAUAAUGAUUAAAUAAAUAAAUGUGAAAAAUGAAAUUUUGGAAAUUGAAAAUUAAAUUUGGAAAUCGGAAUUUUGAAGAAUUAUUUAAAGAUGAAUUUUUUUAAAUAACGAAAAUAAUAAUGAUUAAAUAAAUAAACAUGAAAAUUGGAAAUUAAAUUUGAAAAUCGGAAUUUUGAAGAAUUAUUUAAAGAUGGAAUUUUAAAAAUAAAUAAAUAAUAAUAAUAAUAAUAAUAACGAAAAUAAUAAUGAUUAGAUAAAUAAAUAUGAAAAUUAGAAUUUUGGAAAUUGGAAAUUAAAUUUGGAAAUUGGAAUUUUGAAGACUUAUUCGAAAAUUGAAGUUUUGAAAAUUAGAUUUAAAAAUUGGAAUGUUGGAAAAUAAUUUUGAUAUUAAAAUAUGAAGAAAUAAAAAAAAUGAGUUGCCAUAGUUGGGAUUGCAAGCCAAAGGUGGCCAUGCAAGGCGUGGGCCCGGGUGCAAAAGUGGGGUAUGAAGAGUACCAAGGUGGGGCUGGAAGUGCACUUGAAGCUGCCUUGAAUUCCAAGCAAUGAUGAGAUUUGGGUUUGAUGGAGAAGGUGUUGGACAUGUAACCAGCCAUGUUGGAGUUUCUAAGUGUCUGGGCCUUCAUGAUCCUCUCCAUGUUUGCAACCCAACCAUACUCUCCUGUGACUAAGCAGCAUGGGAAAUCCACUACAUGGUCAGAAACUACAACUUUUUCAACUUUGUCAUUGAGCACAUCAUUUAUCGCCUUGCGGAAACACUCAAACUUCUCCUUCAAAGCUUCCUAUUUCUUUUUCUCAUCCUCACUCUCAUCAAAUUUGAGUCCCUCAUUGGUUGCAGGGACAAGCUUCUUCCCCUCAAACUCUUUCAAGUGCCCCACUACAUACUCAUCAAUGGUGUCAACCAUGAACAAAAAUUCAUAACCUUUCUUCUUCAGGUUUUCAAGAAAUUAAGAACUCUCCACAGCUUUCUUGCUUUCUCCCAUGAUAUAAUCCCUAAGACUGGUCAGCUCAUCUCCGCUCUUAGUGGAGUGGUAGUGAAGCCAUUCAGCAAGCUUACCUUUGUCUUAGGAAUCCUUGACCUGUUCACACUUUCUGGGUGUUUUCAAAGCAUCUUUCUUAGAUGAUCUGAACCUAUUUCCAUGAAAAAGGUGCUUAUCCUCAUUCACCUCCAUAGCUCCAUCAAUUUCAUUCACUUCGACAACCAUCCCUCCAUUAAUCUCUCCCCAUAAUGGAGCAUGGUAAGCAGGCCAUGCAAUCAUAGAGAUGAAAAAGAUAACCGAGAGGUCCGAUAGAGGCUUAGGUAUGGGCGGAUGGCUGCAAACGUGUAGGGAAUAGGUAGAAAGGAAUUUCAUGGGAACCAACUUCUUCACUGGCUUAUCCAAAUGUCCCGUAGCCAAUCUCUAACAUCAUCAGCUAGUGAUACACACAAUGUUAUGCAGCCGGGAUACCCACAGAAAACAGAGGAGGAUAACCAAGAAAGCAGAGCAUGGAGAACAUAAACAAAAAUGAACCAAUGAAAGCCACAUUUCACGUUUUAUUCAAAAGGGUUCAGAUUGGUGGGAGGAAGGCAAUCAAAUUGAAACAAGAAAAAGAUAACCAAAUCUCCAAACAAGGGCAAGUGAAACAGAGCUUCAUUGGGUUCAAAUAAUACUAAAAAAGACUGUGACUGAAACAGGAACAACGAUCAUAUUGAACAAAUCAGAAAUCAGCAAAGCUCAUGGGCAACCUAUAUUACUCAUGACCAAGCAAUCACACAAAGCCCUAAACAGCCAAAAGGAGAAGAGAAAAAAAAACGUUGGUAGUGAAAGUAAAAGGAAAGAUGCAUAGUGAGCUUACCUAAGAGCUCCUCCAAAGCAAAGAGAGCCACUGAGAGCUCCUCUAAAGCAAAGAUAGUUCGACUUCUCAAUGCUCUUCCUCCACAACUUUUGUUCAUUCCAUCUCCCAUAUAUCUUUUUCUCUCAAGCCCUCCCAAAAUCUGCAUCCGAAAAGCUCCUCCCUCUACGUAGCUUUCUCUCAGUCCUCGGAUAUCACCCUUCGAAAAGCUCCCCCUCUAUUUCUCCUAUUCCCGUUCUUUUCUUCUGUCCAGCUUUCACCCAUUUUUCUACUCACCCCACUCCUAUGUCCUCUAUUCAGAAUAUCCCAUUAUGAGCGUAGAGGUAGGCAGUCCUCUAUGAAUAGAUGUGAUCCCAUGCAACCCUUCAUCACUUCAAGAAACCGGCCCCCACUCAUUCCUACAACAAGCUGCUAGCUAUCUGGGUGUGAGAAAAAAUAAAUAAAUAAAGCCUUCUCCACAAAGGGGUCUAUAGAAUGAUAUAUAUUAUGUUCAAUUUUAUUUGUUUUUUAUGGGGUUUUUUUUUAUAAAAAAAAUUUCUAUAUUUUUUUUUUGUUUUUAAAAAUGGGUGAAAACAACAUUUACUUUUUCUCUAAAAACUAUUAUCUAUUUCACUUUGUUUUUAAAAACUGUUUCUAGAAAACAACGACCAAAUAGUAUUGAGAACUUUUAAAAAUAGUCUUAUGUUUUUAAAAAUAGAAAAACAUUUUUAAAUUGUAUGGUGAUAGACUCUUAGAUUGUUUGCUUUUAACUUCUUUUUUUACUUAUUAUCUUUUUUUUUGAAUUUUUUAACUGAAUAAAAAGAAUAAAAAUAUUUGAUUUUUUGCUAAAUACUAAAAAUAAUUUUUUGAAACAAUCAAAACACAAUUUUUACUCUGUUAAUACUUAAUAUUUAAUUGAAAUAAAAUAAUAAGAAAAUAAACAAGUUUAAACAAGUUAAUACUUAAUACUAUGAAGUUGUAUUUAAAAUUAAGUUUACAUUUAAUAAUAAUAAUAAUAAUAAUAAUAAUAAAGGACAAAUACCAUCUUAAGUCUCACAUUUUGUUCUUUCACAAACCUUCAAUUUCCUUCAUUGGAUAUGCUCUGCAUUAGUGGGCACAUUCCAAUCCUAGGAACCACAUGCCUUUUUGUAUGACUAACCUGCUUUUUGUCAAUUGUAUCACUCUCUCUUGUGAGUAGUCACAUCUUGAUAUUGAUUUGUUGAAACCACGGUAUUAUGGUGGGCUUGAGCGUAAUUUGAACCCAAGACCUCUUAGUUGGUAUAUUGGACCAAGGUCUCUCCUAAAAGUCCAACUUCGAAGUUCUAAGUUCCAUGUUUAGGAAAUAGAAUCAAUGAGUAAUUUGCGAGUAUAUAAAUAUGCCUGCAGUCCACAAACCAAAAGAAAAUCUUAUUAACUAACAAACCUCAAUCAAAUCUAAACAUUUAAUGUAAAUCCAAAAAUUAGUGUGCUAAAACCUCACUUUUUGAAUUAAUGAAAAAAAAAAUUGCAAAGUAGUUUUAAAACAAUUCAUAAUGUGAUUAGGACACUACAUAAUGUUAGGUCUCAUAAAAGUCCUCUUUACGCUUAGUUUCCCUAUUGGAUAAUUUAUUCCUAACUUAUAUGGUGAUGUUUGAAAAAUUGAUGGACUUUGUAGCCAUCUAGAAUAGCCAUUCUUCAUGUCUUAGAGGCUGCAAAUCCUCCUUACCAUUAGCACUAGAUUUUUUAAACUAGACUUUGCAAGUUGACUUGCUGACCAUAGUUAACAUAACAAUUAAGUCCUACAUUUUUUAUGAUUUAUAAUUAUUAGUCAUUUUAGCCAAAACAAUAAAUUUAUGAACAAACAUUUGUCAUUAUGAAGGGAACAAACUAUACAUGUGAUUGCUAGUAGGCCAUAAUUGACAUUCCUACCAAAUGAAAAUAUUUCACUUGAUAAAUAAAUUAAAAGGGAAUAAUUUUAUUCUUUAAAAAAGCUUUCUAUAAAAGAAAAAUAUACUAGACCAGUACAUCUCAUAUUCUAGUAGAGAAACUUAGACAAAACUUUACAAUAAAAGGUUUUUAUUCCUAAUUUAACAACUGCCUAACACCACUAACCCAUUUUUCCUAUUAAAUGACAAAAAUUCAUGAACUAUCCAAAUGUUAUUAAUUAUAAGGCUCAUUUUGUUUAGAUUUUAAGAAUUCGUAUGCUAGUAAUUUUAAGAAAUAUUUUUAAUACUUUUAAUAUUUCUAAUAUUUGAAAAUUUGUAUAUUUCAAGUAUUAAAAUAUAAAAAAUACUUUUUAAAAUUAAAGAUCAAUUUGUAUUAAAAAAAUAAUAGAUUAAAAUUUUAAUAUCUAUGUUUUGGUUAUUAUUGUGUUAAAAAAAAAAUUAACAGUGCAAUGUAUUAAAUAUUGUAUUGUUAAUUUUGAAACUCAUAAUAAGAAUUUUGAACCCUAAAUUACUAAACAAGGUAGUAACUUGGACGGGUUAGAAGGUUAACCAACCAUCAAUAUGUCCAACCCAUGCUAAAUCUAACCCAAGUUCAGGUUAGAAAUUCUCAAUUCACAUCAAACUUGGAAGCAAUUUAGAUUACCAGAGAUUCACACGAGUUAUCAAAUAAAAUAAAAUAAAAUUAUUUCAUAGCCAACCUGAAUAUUAGAUUAGGCACAGGUUAGGCAGGUUGAACUCGUCAUCAAGGGUGAAAUUAUCUUGGCCAAUAUAGAUUAAGCUUGCUAGCCACAAUUUUAGAAAUUUCAGAAUCAACCUUGCAUAAAUACUAAAAUGUAAAUCGAGACAAUUCCAUUUUUUUGAUCCCUCUCUUAAUAUUGGCAUACACGUAGGCCUUAGCUAUCACCGAAUAGGCAUCGGAGUUGGUGAUGCCAUUGCCAUCCUAACUCGUAAUUGAAUUCGAGUAAAAUAUUAGAUUGAGAAUUGGGAAUUUGAAGCCAAUUUGUCGACUAAAGCUUUGGGUAAAACCAAGGCAAAGCAACUCACGACUUCCUACAAAUCGUCGCUGCAAACGUACUUCUCCCAUUCCAAAAAACUCACGACUUCCUACACGUCGUAGCUGCCUGCUCUAGCAUAUAAUUCCAAAAAACAAGUUAAGCCAAUCAACCUUUCCAUGUACCCACCUACUACAUGCUACCAGAUAAAUUUGAUUUGAAGGCUACCAACUAGUCCAGACAUUAAUAAACUUAAUAUAAAUUAUUGGUUCAUUCUCAUUGCCUGCUGGCCGAUGAACACAGAAUUGGGAAAAUUAUGUUUUGGGCCUAACUGGGUCUAAAAAUUAAGCAUUAAGCUGUGGUUCAUAUAUGUUCCAUAUUUAAGUCUAACACCCAAUAAAAGAGUAAAAAUUGAGAGUAAAGAUAUUGUCUUUUAAAAAUUCAUAAAAUACCCUUAACCAUUAAAUGAAAAAACUAACAAAUCACCUCAUCUUUUUCAUUCUCUCUUUGACUCCUUUGUCCUUCUCUCACCUAUUUAAUAGUGGAAUCAACUUGAAUUAUUUUUCUUCAUCAAAUAUGAAAGAUGGUUAAAAAUUAUUAUUACCAAAUGUAUUUUUGAAGUGAAUAACUUUUAAAUACCUCAUCAAAUAUUAUUCUUUUUUCCAAACUUACAUAAUAUAUAAUAAAUAUUUUUUAAAUAUAUUGAAAACUUACUUAAUAUAUAAUAAAUAUUAUUUUUGUUUUCAAACUUAUAUUAUUUCUCAUAUAUAUUAAAUAAUUUUUAAACACCUCAUAAAAUAUUAACAUUAUUUAUUUGUUCUAACUUGUAAAUUAGAUAUCAUCAAAUAUUAUAUUUUUUCAAAUUUAUAGAACAUAUAAUAAAUACUUUUUAAAUACCUCAUAAAAUAUUAUUAAUUUUUUUUUCUAACUUGCAAAUUAAACACAUGGUGUUUAUUAUUUUUUCGUAAAUAAUGUAAACACUCACAUGCAUAUAUAUAUAAUUAAGAAGACAAUAUUUUUAAGACUAAUUUACCAACUUUCCAAUAAUUUUGAAAGUGUAAAUAGGAUAAUUGGCCGAAUUAAGGUCUUCAAAAUAUUCAAAAUUUCUCAAUUCCAAAAUUACCUAAUUGCUCUUCACACUAAUCCUAAAUAUUUUUCAAUAAAGAUUUAAAUAUUUAAAACCAUUAAAAUAAAUACUUUCUUAUUAAAGCAAUUUUUUCAAAGUAAUAAGAUAAAAAUCAUGAAAUCUUCAAAACUAUAAUUACAACAAAUAUUUUUAACUUUAAAACUAAUUUCAUAAUUUAAAUUAAUGAUUUUAAAAAAUAAAAAUGUUAUAAAAAUAAUUUUUGUUUAUUUUUAAUGCCAUUUAAAUAUGAUUUUUUUAAUCUCUAUUGAUAGCAAUGAAAUUAUAUUUAUAAAGGCAAAAUAGUAAAAAUAUAUAUUUCAUUUAGUUUACUUAUAAUGAACAAUUCAAACAUGAUUGAUUUUAAUUUUAUUUCCUAUAUGUUAAUUUUUGUAGAGAAUAUCUUAAUGACAUAGUUUGGUAAAAAAAGAAUUACAAAACUAUCAAUAAUCGUCUUAAUGUCAAAUUCAAGUUGUUUAAAAAUCAUACAAAACCUAUUAGAAGUCUUGUACACCCUUGUACACUUAACACAUUUCCCUUGUACAGUUAGUGUAAUACCCUUGUACAAUGACACAAAUUUCAUAUAUCUCCUAAUUUAUAUGUCCAUGUAGGUGUAUUAAUCAUAUUUUCAAUGAUUUGGUUGAAAAAAUGAUGGAUGACUUAGGGUCAAUUUUUUUUCCCCAAAUAUCAUUAUUGAGAAAAAAAAUAUUGGAAUUUUCAUGUAAGAGUUAAAUAAAGUGCAUGACAUAGGUGUACAAUCAUUGGGUGACAAGGAAAAUAAAAAAGUAGUUUAUAAUCAAUUAAAAUCAUUUACAAAGGAUAAUCUUGUACACCUUUAUACAAUUAGUACAUUUCCCUUAUACAGUUAGUGUAAUACCGUUAUAUAAUGACACAAAUUUUGUAUCCCUCCUAAGUUAUGUGUCCACGUAGGAGUGUUUAACCAUAUUUCCAAUGAUUUAGUUGAGAAGAUGGUAGAUGAUUUAAGGUCAAAAAAAAUUUUCUUCAAAUAUUAUUAUUAGGAAAAAUAUUGGAAUUUUCAUGCGGGAAUUAAAUAAAGUGGAUGACAUAUGUGUACAAUUCGUGAGUGAUAAAAAAAAAAAAAAAGGAAUGACUCAUAAUCGAUUAUAUAUUUCACAAAGAGUAACCUUAUACACCUUUAUACACUUAGUACAUUUCCCUUGUACAGUUAGUAUAAUACAAUUGUAUAGUGACGCAAUAAAUGAAUAAAUAAAAUUUAUUAUUUUUUUAUUUUCAUAUAAAAAAAAUAGUACUAAACAAGGUUUUCAAUUUUCAUUUUAAAAAAUAGUUUUCAUUUUUUAAUUAAAAAUAUUUUAAAAAAGAGACAAUACAGAAAAUAAAAAUUAUUUUUAAAAAUAAAAAAUAAAAACUAGAAAAAUAUUUCAAAACCAAACUCAAAUAUAAUCUAUAUAAUUUUUAACUAUUUGUUUUCAUCUAAAAUAAGUAAAUAUACCUUUCAAUCCUUUUAUAUAAGAAAAAUUCAAUCUUUAUUAUGUAUUGAUAUAAUUUACUUCUAAAGUUAGGUCAUAUGAAAACAUUUUAAUUGAGUACUUAAAAUAAGAACUUUCCAUCCAUCCUCUUUCUUUCCUUUUCUUUUUCUUAUUUUAAUAAAUUUUCAAUUAAUUCAAAUCAUUAAAAAAAAAUCAUUAAUAAACAAAUUUGUAACAUUUCAUAUAACUUAUUACUAAAAGUCAUGUUCAAAAAGUUAUUAAAAUAAGGAAGAAAAAAGAUUAAAAAAAUUAAAAUUUUUAUUUUAUAAUAGUAAAAAAAAACUUUAAAAUACUUUUUAAUAUAAACAAAAUUAAAACAGUGAAUAUAUUUAUUUUAAAUAGUAUUUUAAUCAUUAAAUUAUUUACUUCUAAAAUAUAAAAGAUAAAAAUAAAUGUAAACUAUAAUUUUAUUUAUUUAAAUUAAUAUUUUUUUAGAAAGUAUUUUCCAAAAUAGUCUUUGAAUCAUUAAUAUAAUUUUUGUUUAUUUAUAAUUUAAAAAUAAAAAACAAUGUUGAUUUUUUAAUUAUUUAUAAAAGAGUUUUAAAAAAUAAUGAAAAAUCCAAAAAUUGUUAAAUAAGAAAAAAUAGUGGCAUGUGAAGGGUGAUAGAAUAAAGACAAAAUUGAGUCAAGUAAGUAUUUUUGUCUAUUCCCAUCUCAUAUCCUUGUAAUCAAUUAUGGGUGUUUGAAGGACUCUUUAUUAAUUAUCAAAGUCAAAUGGGUCUAAAGCUCAAUUAUCCCCACAUAAUUCAAUUGUAUACUAUAUACCUAAUAGAAGAUUUUGUUGUAGAAACAUAAUUGUUCAUAUAUCUACACCUAAGACCUCAUGUACUGCAAAACUUUUACGUGAUUGUAACCUUAAAAUUAUUUUAACUCAACUGUUUCUUGUGUCCAACAUGCUACUUGAAUUACAUGUUCUUGGUGCCAAUUUUUUGGUAGAGAAUCUUUUUCUAAAAAGGGAAAAAAAAAAAAGUAUGUCGGUUUUAUAAAAAUUGCCUAAAAUGGCCUACAAGGGUAAUAAUUUAUAUGUAUUAAAUAGAUCGAAUUCUUGUUUUCACAAGACUUGUGGAGGAGAAACAUUUGAUUUUAAUUAGCAUUAAGAGCGUACUGGCUCUCACUGUUGUAAACUUGUGGGGAGGUAUCUUAUCUUCAGCAUGAUGCUGAAUUUGGGAAAAAAAUCAAAAUUCUUUCGGUCAUAUGCAAUGAAUUUGAGUUAUGUACGCAACCCGACAACUACUAGUCAGUAUGCAACAGAAGACAACUACAAGUCACCGUGCAUUCACGAGAAGAGAUGUAAAUAGGCUGGCUCUGAUCGACUAGACCGCACUUAAAACACAAGGCAAAGGUGCUCACAACUUCCGCCAAUUCGUCACUACAAACGUUACAGCUAUCUUAUUUACUGUCCACUCUUCCAACUCCGUGCCUUAUUUAAGCAUUCCAAGGCGAUUCCCAACACAAAUUAACCCAAUCAUUCACAGCAUAGAUCCACGCUCUACCAAGUUUCUAGCAAAUUAUCCAGUACCUACCAUUCAGCAGCCAAAUAAUGCAAGCCCAAAUCCUCCUGGUAACUUAUCCGGCACAAGGCCACAUCAAUCCAUCUCUCCAACUAGCUAAGCUCCUCACACGUGCUGGUGCCCAUGUCACCUUUGUCACUAGCAGCUCUGCCAGUACCCGCAUGUCCAAACCCCCAACCCUGGAAGGGUUGGAAUUUGUGACAUUCUCGGAUGGCUAUGAUCACGGAUUCAAACACGGGGAUGACCUCCAAAACUUCAUGUCCGAGCUUGACCGUCUCGGGUCCCAAGCUCUUACCGAGCUCAUCGUGGCCAGAGCAAAUGAAGGUCGUCCCUUUACUUGCUUACUCUACGGUAUCAUAAUUCCUUGGGUGGCAGAGGUCGCCCAAAGCUUUCACCUCCCAUCUGCACUCGUUUGGAGUCAAGCUGCCACUGUUUUUGAUAUCUACUACUACUAUUUCAAUGGUUAUGGAGAGCUCAUUGGGAACAAGGGCAAUGGCUCCUCUUCUUCCAUUGAAUUACCAGGGCUCCCCUUGCUCAGUAGUAGUGAUCUUCCCUCAUUUUUAGAGCCCUCAAAAGCAAUUGCAUUCAAUUUUGUCCUCAAAUCGCUUCAGAAGCAACUAGAGCAGCUCAACCGUGAAAGCAACCCGAGAGUACUGGUAAACAGUUUCGAUGCAUUAGAGUCCGAGGCCCUAAGAGCUCUCAAUAAGUUUAAGUUAAUGGGAAUUGGACCCUUGCUUCCAUUGGCUUUCUUGGAUGGAAAAGACCCAUCCGAUACUUCAUUUGGAGGCGAUCUUUUCCGUGAUUCAAAGGACUAUAUCCAGUGGCUGAACUCAAAGCCUGAAUCUUCUGUCAUUUAUGUAUCAUUCGGAAGCCUCUCGGUGUUAUCAAAGCAACAGUCAGAGGAAAUUGCUCGUGGACUGCUAGCCAGCGGGCGGCCAUUCUUGUGGGUCAUAAGAGCCAAAGAAAAUGGGGAAGAAGAGAAAGAAGAUGAUAAACUGAGUUGUGUUGAAGAGUUGGAACAACAAGGGAUGAUAGUUCCUUGGUGUUCUCAGGUAGAGGUUUUGUCACAUCCUUCAUUGGGAUGUUUUGUGUCACACUGCGGUUGGAAUUCAACUUUAGAGAGCUUGGCUUGUGGGGUGCCAGUGGUGGCAUUUCCUCAGUGGACUGAUCAAACUACAAACGCGAAGCUGAUUGAAGAUGUGUGGAAGACGGGUCUACGGGUGAUGGUGAACCAAGAAGGAAUAGUUGAAGGUGGUGAGAUCAAGAAGUGCUUGGAAUUGGUCAUGGGAUGUGGAGAAAAGGGGCAAGAGGUGAGAAGGAAUGCCAAGAAAUGGAAGGAUUUGGCAAGGGAAGCUGUGAAAGAAGGUGGAUCUUCUGACAAGAACCUCAAGAAUUUUGUGAAUGAAAUUAUACAGGGUUAUUAGUAAAGAUGCAACACAAAAAAAAAAAAAAAAAAAAGGAAGAAUGAAUAAGACAUGUUUGAUUUGGUGAUAUUUAAGUUUAUAAGUGGAAACUAUUGUUAAAAAUUGAUCCCAAAAAUUGUAUGAUACCAGAUUUUAUUAUGGUUGUCAUAAUUUUUCUCUCCCUAUAAAAGUAAGCAAAAAUGCAUUAGUGAAGAAUGCACAAAAUACAUCAUCCAAAUCAGGAAGAUCUAUCUUCAUGAAAAAUUUUAAAAAAAAAAAUCAAAUUUAAGUGUUUUCUAAAUUUAUGUGUGAAUAAAAUUUUAUUCAUUAAUCCUAGUUAAAAUCUUUCCGCUAGAAAAUGGGAAGGAUACCAUUAAUGUUUUGACACGUUUUUAAAAUGUUUGUCAAACUAAAUUAUGGAAGAUGAAUGUGAAUAUGUCUUGGCAAAUCAAGUUGAGAAGCCUGUCACUUUUUGUCUUGCAAUGAGAGAAUCCUUUGUCAAAUGAAGGUAACAAUAUUCCCAUCGAUUAAUGUUUUGAAAACGAGCCAAUCAAUUUAUGUUUUCCAAUUGGAAAAAUCUAAUGCACCAACCGGUACUUAUUGACCUUCGAAUCUACACUAUUCAAAGGGUAUCAUAAAAUUUCAAUGAUUGAACAAUAGUGUAAAGGAAUGACAUAAGUUGUAAAAAAAAAAAUUGAUACAAGGCAUAAUGGAAUAACAUCGAGGUAGAAAACAAUGGAAUCUCAUAUAUGAUACAAAUAUGUAUUGUAUAUGACUUCAAUACAAAGGAAUGAGAGUUGAAUUGGUGGCACCACUUAAUUACUAUAAAAAAGAUACCAUUUGUCAUUGGAGCAAUAUUUUUUAUUAAUUUUUGUUGAAGUCCAACUUAACAAGAUCUCUCAUUGACAAGAGGAAUCAAACCUAUCAAUUUGGUUUUGAACUCUUCUAAAUUGGAAAUUCUAAUCCAUCUUUGUAAUAUUGAAUAUGUUCUCCUUCGAAAUCAGAUUCACAUCUUUAUCUAUAAGUACAUUCUCAAAUUUUAAAAAUACUCGAAUAAUCAAAUGUAUAAGUGAUGAUUUAUUUCGAAAUGGAUUAUUUUGGACAAAUGACUAUUUCGAUUAGUCUCCUAAAUACUUAAAAUUAGAUAAAUUAAUAACCAAUCAAUCUCACAUGAACAAGUUGUUAUAGAGAGUAGCUUAAACCUCUGCAUAUGAAAAAAUCAAAAGUCCAUUGAUCAUGGAAAAUCCAUUACAUGUAAAAGAAAGUGCGCAAGUUUACUUGGUUCAAACGCUAGUUAUUCUAUGAGACUUAUACCAAUCAAUAAAUACUUUCUUUUUUCACAUCUAUGACAUAGAACACCCCAUGCUCCUUAAGAGACCAUUUCAAACGAUAUUGAGGGUUAGCAAUUCAAAUUCUUGAUCUCUAGUUUUCAUCUGUGAAAGGAUUUCCAAGAUUUUCUUAAGAAAAAGCCUCUUUAAGUGUUUAAGUUAGAAUAAUGACUACUCUUCAUUUUUUCAAAGGUUUUUCCAAAAUAUAUUUUUAAACUAAGACCAUAAAUUUUUUAUUGUAUUAAAUAAGGAAAACAUUUUCAUUAAAAAAACAUAUAGUUCUUUUGUAGUUUUUUUAAAAAAUUCAAAUAUAUAUGCAAAGAUCUUGAUCCUUCCAUAGUGAGACUUGAGUGUCCUUUGUUAAAUGUUUGGGCAUCCAAGGUUGUUUUCCUCAUUUUUCAUAUAAUAUUCUACAUGGCCACUUUCAUGUAGUAAUGGAAACGGGGCGGGUUUGGGAGAGGUCAUUCCUAUAUAUCCCAUUCCCACCCCUGAUUACACAAUUAUUUCCCAUCCCCGGUACAAACCCGAGUCAGGGCAAGUUGAUUGGUUCCACAAAAUGAUUAGUAACCCCAUCCCCGCCCAAUCCUAGAUGUCCAUUGAGCCCUAAUCCUAAUUGAUCAUACUUAAAUGCACUUUCCUUUCAUUGUAAAAUAACGAAAUUCUGAUAAUAUACAAAAUAUGAAAAAAUAAUAUCAAAGUUCAAAUUAACACCACAACAAUCUAUAAUAUUAAACCCAUAAUUAGCAUAAAUGAUUGAAAAUUAAUCUAAAAAGCAAAACACACACACACACAAAUUCACCUUAACAAUGAACCAAACGAGAACAUGGGUCAACAUCAACCAUGGGUUUGAAUUCCUCUUCAGGCCAAUCUUUGAAACAAGACUUCAUCAAAUCCACUACUUCAAAGGCUUUCGCAUUCCUCUUGAGUUGUGUUCUCGAAUAAAGACUUAAAGGUGAUGUUCUAGAUGAUUGUGUCGCACAUAUUUAGGAUAAGAAGAUCGGGGCCUAUGACCAGUUUGAUGUCAUGUUAGAGGAGUUUGGGCGCUGAGGCAUAACCAAGAACAAGAUGGAAUUGAUUUCAGAGUAUUUUAGUUGGUAUGAGGAAGGAAGAAGAAGUGGUAUUAAUCUUAGAGAUAGGGUUUCAGGCAGUGUAUCAGAGGAAGAAGAAGCAACAGCCGUUGAAAUUAGAGCUUUUUCUUAUAUUUCAUACCUGUCCCAAUAGGGAUAAGGCACGGUGGGUUACCCGGGUUACCCACAAAAUUUCCAUCCUUAUUUUCAUGUGCUUUCAAGCAUCCAUUAAUUCCUUUUUAUUUCUAAUUGCGACUGAAAUGUUUAUGUUAGCACACAUUAAUUUGACCUAAGUUCAACUCAAGGUCUACUUACCAAGCUUUAAUUGUAAAGUCUUCAACUUGAACAUGGCAUGUAUAAAUCUCCAUGGUAGUAAAGUAGUUUCAAACAAAUAACUUUUGGAGCAAAAUUUUCAGCUUAAACUAAUAUGCGUCUAUGGCACUCCCUCUCCUGGAAAGUUAUCUCUACCAAAAACCACCUCUAACCAACCUACUAUGUGUCUACCUUGCAAAGAAUAUCUCUACCGCUCCCUGAAAACCGCCACUACUCCCACUCACUCUCUUGACAACUCACACUCUCUAGUUGGCAUCUAGAAUAUUGACAACUCACACUCUCUAUAAUUGUUUUAUCAUUCUUAAAUUUCUUAUAUUUGUCAUUUUUAUGACAAAAAGGGGAAGUAAAAAAAGGGUUUAUUAAGUUUAUUGAUUAUAUUAUUAUUUUUUUCAUUUUUGCUAUCCUAUGCUUUUCAAAAGUUUAUUGUUUAAGUGUGUGUGUGUAGAUUAUAGGAAAUUGACAUCACUAUGUAAGAAAUGGUUUAAACUAAGAUUAGGAUUAGGUUCGAUGAGGUUUUAUGAGAGUUAUGGGAGACCUCACUAUAUCUUUUUAUUUUGUAACAAAAUUGUCAAAUGGGAAAUUGAUUCUUAGGGUAUUUUAUUUAGCUAACAAAUUUGUUCAUUUCUUACUAAUUAGAUGCAACUUACUUCCUUGGGUCUUAUAAAUUUCAAGACAACUUUAGACUUCAUCAAUUUCAUAUUUGGGUUAUUCGUAAAAGUUAAGGUAAGUAUAUAUUUAUGGUUGACAAAGCUUAUAAAAUAUCUAAUACAAGAAAUUAGGAAGAAAAUACUUUCUAUUUAAUUUGCUUAUUUGAACUCUAUUAUAUUUUUAAUUCCAAAAAUUGUUUUUGAUAAGUUUUAAAAUUAUGCUCUCUAAAUUUGUGUUUGAUUCUAAAAAGAAUUCUUGAAAUAUUUUUUAGAAAGUUUUAAAAUUGUGAUUAUCUCUAAAUUAAUAUUUCAUUCUAAAAAUGAUCUUUAGAAUACUUUAGAAUUAGGAAACUCUUCAUAAUUCUAAAAAGGGUUUUAUAAAUAUAAAUCGAGAUAUUUUAUUUAAAAGGUAAGGUGUGGACUUUUAUAAACUCUAAAAGAGCAUAGUCAUUCAUCAAAAGUUUGAUCAUUCAAUUCUCAAAUUUUCAAGAUCUUUUUUAAGAGUGAAUUUCAACUACAACAAAGGUGAGAGAUCUCAUUACAAAACUUUGAUAAGGGCUUUGAGGGAUCUACUAAGGAGCACAGGGGAGUGCUAGAUCAAUGACGUGGAAAAAAUGUGUAAGUGUUGUCAGUAUAAGACCCUAGAGAAUAGGUCCAUCUGAUCAGGUAAAAUUAUAUACUCUUUUCUCAUAUUUAGUGGAUUAUUUAGUAGUCGAGAAACCACCCAUGGUUUUUUACACCUAGUAGGUUUCUAGAUGGAUUUUCCACAUAUUAUAUCUCGUGUUCAUUUAAGUGAUUGAUUUUAUUUAUAUUUCCAUGAGAUUUUUCUUCUCUUUUAAGAAUUAAUAUAAAUGGAUAAACCUAAAAUAAGUAAUACAAUAUCAAUUUAGGGAUUGAUUCAAAGACUACAACUUCUAGGUAGUUCCAUUAUAUCAAGACUGAACAUAAACUUCCUUUCAUAACCUUUUGAUCUCAAUAAAGGGAACAAAAAAUUCAAAUUUCAAAUGUUGAGGUCCCUUUAAUGCAUGUUUUCAGCAUUUUCCUUUCUUUUACCUUUCUUUCUAAAACAGAGCCAUGAUCAAUAUAACCAAUUAAGAGAAAAAGAUGCCAUGAGAAAUCACAACAAGUUCAAAUAAUGACAAAGUGGUUUAAUUGUGAUAAGCAAUUUCCUAGUUGCUCCUCCAUCAUACCCAUAAAAUUAUAGUCCAAAUGUCGAAGUCAUAACCAAAAUGUUAAAUUUCUUUUUCUCCCCCUCAGAGCUAUCCACUAUUGAAGCUUGACAUAGUUUGUUCGAACUCAUUGACAUCAAGUCCAAGUGAUAUAGAUUUUCUCACCUAAUACCAUAACCAAUCAACUAUCCUGUUUGGAUGUCCUUAAACACACAAAAUCCAAGACAAAAGAAUACAAUAUAAGAUAAGGUUGUGGUUAUUUGAAAAACUAGCAAAAGGUUAUAAUUAAAAUACCAAACAACUAAAGUAAAAUCUAAAUUCAAAGUAUUAUUAAAGGUCAAGGAUAUUUCCCCAAUGAUUGGGAUGGAAGUACCAUUGGCAAUAGAAAAAAAUUUGUGAUGACAAUUUAAGAAGUGAAAUAUGUCUAGAAUCAAAUAUCUUAUGAUGUGUAGCACCACAAUCAAUUAUCCAUGCAUAACUAGAAACAAGUGUGGACAUAUUUAAAAUCUUACUACCAUUGUUUGCAACUACUACCAAUAUUAAGGCUUUUUUAGCAACUUCAUCCUUCGUCUUUCUUUGAACAAUUGUGGUAGUAGAGAUUUCUUUGGAAUUCUACUUUUGUGGAUAACGACUAUGAUCCCACCAUUCCGGAUAUUCCACAAGCUUAAAACAUCCACUUAUGUUAUGACUAGUUUGAUUACAAUGAUUGCUUGUAGGUAGACUUGUUUGACACCAUUGGUGGUUUUAGGAUGGUCAAGCUUCGUUUGAUCCUGUUGGUUUUGAGAAGACCAGUUUUGGUUAAACCAAUUUCUAGCUACCAUAGCAAAAGCUUACGAGUUUUCGGACUUGCCUUUCAAAGUGGUGAGAGGUAUUACCUUGCAACAAACCAGAAAAUAACAUUCCUCUAAAUUUUUAACUUGUUCUUUGCACAAAAUCUCUCCAUGGAUUUUUUGAAAAUCACCAUCCAAUAUAUCCAGCUAGAAAUAUGUGUUCCCUUAGCUAUUUAAUAGAUUUUUUGUACACUAUAAUGUCAUCAACAUCCUUUAUGACCACUUUUUAACAAUGGUCCAAUUCUAAAAAAAUUUCAAUCAACACUCCAUAAUAUUUAGAGAGAGAUUUUCUACUUUGUUUGGUCGUAAAGGACGUUUAAUUCAAAGAGAAAACUUGUAAAUUGUCAUUUCCAUCAUAAAAGGCCUUGGAGAAAGCACUCAAGAUUUCAUGGUCGGGUAGUGGGUAAGCAUAAAUAACGCUUCGUAAUUUCUAGAAUCAUGGAUAUGAAUAGCCACCUCUUAGCCUUCUGAUUUUUUUGCAUACCACUUCUCAUAUUCAUCUUCUAAUUCCAUAGGUGACUUUGUCUUGCCACAAAUAGACAAGAGUUUCUCUCUCUUCACAAUAUGCAUCUUCAUCAAUUGGGACCAAACGUCAUAGUUUGAUUCAAUAAGAAUGAUCCUUGCAUUAAAAACACAUUCAAAUUUAAUUACAGAAGGAACUGAUUUUGUCCCAAAAGAUUGAAUAUUUUUUUUCACUCAUUUUGAUUCAUAGAAAAAAAAAUCAUAGAAAAAAAAAAUUGCAGAGAUUUCAAACUUUGCUCUAAUAUUAACUAAAAAUAUGGGGAAUAAUUCUUUUCAUUCUUAAUCUUUGAUGAACCUAUAAAUUUUUAUAUAGAUAGGAAUUAUGAUCAAAAUACCUAAAAUCAAUCCCUACAAUCAAGUUUAAAUAAUUUGUUCACACCAACUUACACCUAUAUAUAUUUUCUCUAAAUUAGGAAAGAAUUAUUAAAGAUAUUACAAGAUUUGUUGACAAUCUCAACAGGUGGCAAAGCCACAUGAAGUAGGAGCUCCCAAAAGGAUUGCUCAAGGAUUUUAUGGUUAUUAUAAGAUGCCCUUAAUUUAAUUUCCAAGAAAGAAAAAAUUUAUCCAUGCCAAAAUAAUAGCAAAAUAAAAGAAAAAGAAAUAGAGGAGGAAAUACAAACAUAAACAAAGUUUACCUUUCUACAAUUUAUAGAUGCAUUUGUUAUAGCAUAUCAAUGAUCAUGAAGUAAUUAACCUACCAUGUUAUUUAUUUUUAUAAUUAAUUAAUUCUUGAAGAGAUUAUAAAUAUGAAUGGAUGAUUAAACCACAUCAAUAUACCACUUUCUCAUAUAAGAUAAUUCAAUAAAACAGAAAUUGUGGAAAAAAAAAAUUAUGGGAUUGACAGUCAAAACAUUAGUAUCAAACUAUUCAAUGUAAAAUCAUGGAAAAUUGGGAGAUAAAAGGAGUAAUGUCUAGGUAAAGGUAAUCAUUGGUAAUAAGUUCAUAUAAAGUAGUAGAAUAUUCUUUGGUGACAAACAGUAAGUCGGUUCAUAUACUUGUAAUUAUAGUUUAAUUAAAUGAACUUAUCAUAUUUUGGAUGUACGAUAUGAUUAAUAUUAUAUAAGUCUGAGAAUAUUACCCAAGCACAAGCAAAUAAAGGAGUUAGAAAAAAAAUUUAAAAAAAAAAACAAUAUAUACAUAUAUUAGGGUAAAAUAUAGAAAAAUUUUAGUUGGAGUUUAAUGGAAUAAACUUAUUGAGGAUUACGUUAGCAUAUCCUGGGUGGAGAAAAUGCCUAGAAUUAUGAUUUGUUUCGACCCUAUCAAUAUUUUGAAUCAAGCCAAAAAUAAAAGAAAAUAAAAAAUAAAAAAAAAAAAUGAAGAUUCAAUUUUAAGGUGGCUGAGAAAUAUGUCAACAUCUCAAUGUGGGGUUAUAGUCUUUUACCAUCACUUUAUCUUUCAAUAUUUCAUUAACAUCUUAUUUUAAUCUCUUGACUCAUUUGCAACCAAAAGUUUUCUAUUUUAUCGGUAAUUGAAUUAAGGUGGUAUUUGUUUUUUUAGCUUAAAGGUUAAUGCAAUUUAUUUUCAAAUUUUAAAUUGUUUGUUUUUUUUAUUUUUUUUAUUUAUUAUUUAUUUUAUUAGCAAUUAUGGUAAGCCUUGAUUGGCAAGUUUUUGGUAAGCCUUGAUUGGCUUGGUAGGCAAAUAUUAUGUUUGUAAUUUGUACAUAUUUUCUUUCUUGUUUAGUUUUACCUUGUUUAGGAGUUUUCCUUGUUUAGGAGUCUUGAUGUAUCUCUUCUCUGUGUAUAUAUAUUGGCAACCGAUGAGAAUAAAAGGACAGAAGAAAAUUGAUCCAGAAUCACCUAGAGUUUUUUCAUGGUAUCAGAGCCAUUGUGAGCUAAACAUACAUCAUCAUGGUUGGUGAUGGGAAGAAAUGAGAUGAUGAAGGGUCCAACUCUGACAAAAAAAUGCUGACCCCCUAUGCAUUGACUUCCAACGAUAAUCCAGGUAAUAUAAUUACCCAAGUUCAACUGAAAGGUGAGAACUAUGAUGAAUGGGCGCGUGUUGUGCGUACUGCUUUGCGAGCCAAAAAAAAUAUGGAUUCGUGGAUGGAUCCAUCAAACAACCAAACAACGAUUCACCUGGUGGGUCAUCAAUCCAAUGCUUGUCUCAUGGGUGUUUAACACCAUUGAACCCACACUUCGAUCAACCAUAUCUUACAUGGAAAACGUAAAGGAACUUUGGGAAGAAAUCAAGCAGCGAUUUUCUAUUGGGGAUGGUCCACGUGUACAACAAUUGAAAUCAGAUCUUGUGAAUUGCAAGCAGGAAGGGCAAGGCAUGGUUGUCUAUUAUGGUCAACUCAAGUCUCUUUGGGACGAAUUGAACAAUUAUGACUCAAUUCCAGUAUGUACUUGUAUUGGGUGUAAAUGUAACAUUACCACUCAAUUAGAGAAAAAGCGGGAAUAAGAAAGAGUUCAUCAAUUCUUGAUGGGAUUAGAUGAAGAUGGAUAUGGGACAGUACGUUCUAAUAUCCUGAGCAUCGAACCUUUGUCGAAUCUAAAUCAAGUUUAUGCUAUGAUCGUACAACAAGAACGAGUAUAGACCAUGACUCGAUCAAAGGAAGAAAGAGGCCGCCCCAUGAGUUUUGCAGUGCAGGUUGGUGGUCGAAACUCAGGAGGUGAUGGAAAAGACAAGACCGUGAUUUGCUCAAAUUGCAAGCAGAAGGGACAUGAAGCUGAUAGUUGUUUUCAACGGAUUGGUUAUCCAAAAUGGUGGGGUGACAGGCCACACACAACCACAGGUGAGCGUAGUGGUGGGCGUGGACGUGGUGUUUAAUAGGGUACAAGUGGAGGACGAGGACGUGGAGGGACUGCUAGAGCCAAUGUAGUUCAAACGUCAGGAACUGAUGGUGGGAGAAGUGUUGUGACUCAUUCUGAUAAAACAGGAAUUAGUGGGUUGAGUGACGAACAAUGGGCCACAGUUCUUACCAUGUUAAACUCACACAAAGGUGGUGUUAAUGAGAGGUUGACAGGUAAGCAAAAUAUUUUUCCUUGGAUUAUUGACACAAGGGCUUCGCAUCACAUGACCGGCACAUAUGAAUGUUUGAAUGACUUGCGUGAUAUUAUGUCUUGUCCGGUUAGGUUGCCAAAUGGAGUAGAGACCAAAGCUUUGAAAAAAGGAACUAUGACUCUUGGAGAAAAAUUGAAACUACGACAUGUUUUGUUUGUGCCUAAAUUGAAAUGCAAUUUGAUUUCUGUGUUGCAGCUUCUUGAUGAUUCCAAUCUUGUUGUUCAAUUCACUAAUAAAAUUUGUGCUAUACAGGACCGCAAUUUGAGGAUGCUGAUUGGAGCGGGUGAACAACACAAGGGGCUUUAUUUUCUCAAGGGAGUCACUCCUAUUCGUGCUUACAAGACAACUAGUAUUGUGUCUUAUGAGCUCUGGCAUAGAAGAAUGGGUCAUCCCUCUUCUAGGGUAGUAGAUUUAAUUUAUGAAGUUGAUAGUGUUAGUAGAAAUGAUGGUGUGAAGAAUAAGUUUUGUGGUAUUUGUUUUAAAGCUCAAAAAACCAAAGAAGUGUUCUUUUCUAGUGAUAAUAAAGCUAAAGAAUGUUUUGACCUGAUUCAUUGUGAUUUAUGGGGAGCUUAUAGGGUUCCUGCUUCUUAUGGAGGUAUUUAUUUCUUGACAAUUGUUGAUGACUGUUCAUGUGCAGUGUGGAUAUAUUUGUUGAAUAGAAAAGAUGAGGUUGCUUGUUUUCUUAAAAAUUUCAUCGUAAUGGUGAGACGACAAUUUGAAAAAAAUGUGAAAAUUGUUAAGAGUAAUAAUGGUACUGAGUUUAUGUGUUUGACAAAAUAUUUUGUUGAACAUGGAAUUUUACAUCAAACUUCGUGUGUCGGGACGGCACAACAGAAUGGGCAUGUAGAAAGAAAACAUCGUCAUAUUCUCAAUGUAGCGAACCCUGCGAUUUCAGGCACAUUUACCUAUUGAGUUUUGGGGUGAAUGUGUUCUUACAACUGGAUAUUUAAUUAACAGGACACCAUCUAUUUUAUUAGAUGGUAAGACACCAUAUGAGAUCUUAUACGGACAAGCCUCCUCCUAUAAGCACAUUCGAACUUUUGGGUGUUUGUGCUAUGCCCAUGACCAAAAUCAGCAUAAAGACAAAUUUGCUAGUCGGAGCCGAAAAUGUAUUUUUGUUGGAUAUCCAUUUGGAAAGAAAGGUUAGCGGUUAUAUGACUUGGAAAACGGCGAAUAUUUUGUUUCAAGGGAUGUAAUCUUUGUUGAAGCAUAAUUUCCAUACUUCAACAAUGUUGUUAACUCUUCCUUGAUCGAGAAUAAAGUCAUGGAUUUCUCUGUAGAUGAUGAGGGCCUGUAUAUGCAGAAUGACAUGGAGGAGCAAUAGGCUUCUGUCUCGGAUGUAGAGCACGAGAUUGAUGUUGAGAUGGGUCAUAAUAUGGAGAUGGCUACUGAUGGGAAUACUAAAGUAGGAGACAGGGGGGCACUGACGUGUCAAGACCUAUGGUGUCUGAGGAACAGUUUGGCAAGGGAAAAAGGGUUAAACAACCUUUUAUUCGGUUGAAAGACUAUGUAACACAUACCAUUCGAGUAAGCCCCUCAGCGAGUUCAUCGUUCCAGUCAAAAUCCUCAGGUACAUCCUAUCAUUUAGCACAUUAUGUGAAUUGUGAUAAAUUUUCUACACAACAUCGGUUCUUUCUAGCAACUGUUACCACAGGGUGUGAACCAAGCACUUAUGCUGAGGCAAUAAAAGAUGAAUGUUGGAGAGAGACGAUGAGAAAGGAGAUACAAGCUCUUGAAGACAAUGAAACGUGGACAGUAGAAGACUUGCCUCCCGGGAAGAAAGCAAUUAGGAGCAAAUGGGUCUACAAGAUUAAAUAUAAUUCUGAUGGAAGCAUUGAGAGAUGCAAGGCGCGCUUAGUGAUUCUUGGAAACAAACAAGUCGAAGGAAUAGAUUACAAUAAGACUUUUGCCCUGACAACAAAGAUGGUCACAGUGCGAAGGUUUCUUGCCGUUGCAGCUGCGAAGGGUUGGAAAUUGCAUCAAAUGGAUGUACAUAAUGCCUUCUUGCACGGUGAGUUAGAAGAAGAGGUAUAUAUGCAGAUGCCGCCUGGUUUUGCAUCUCCAACAUCAAGUAAAGUCUGUAGACUUUGAAAGUCAUUAUAUGGUCUGCGACAGGCACCCAGGUGUUGGUUUUCCAAGUUAGUAGCGGCGCUAACAAGUUAUGGAUUUAAGCAGUCGUAUUCUGAUUACGCAUUAUUUACUUAUGAAGCUCAACACAUUCAACUCAAUGUUCUUGUCUAUGUUGAUGAUCUAAUUAUAUCUGGAAAUGAUGGAACGGAUGUGUAACAGUUCAAAGAUUAUUUGAGUUGGUGUUUUCAUAUGAAGGAUCUAGGAAAACUAAAAUAUUUUUUGGGGAUUGAAGUUGCGAGGAACUCAGAUGGUAUCUUCUUAUGUCAACGCAAGUAUACACUGGACAUCAUCUCUGAGGUUGGGCUGUUGGGAGCCAAGCCGGCUGGGACUCCUCUUGAACAAAACCAUAAAUUAGCACUUGCUGCGAAUUCUGAUUUACGUGAUCCUGGACAAUACAGACGCCUGGUGGGUCGGCUCAUCUACCUGACAAUUACCUAGUCAGAACUGUCUUAUUGUGUGCAUAUGCUUGCUUAGUUCAUGCAGCAACCGAAGGAUGAACAUUGGGAAGCAGCUUUGAGAGUUGUUCGAUAUUUGAAAGCAAUCCGAGACAAGGUAUCCUUUUGCACUCUAAUUGCGACCUGAAACUAUAUGCUUAUUAUGACUCAAAUUGGGCCAGUUGUCCUUUAACACGAUAAUCUUUGACUAGUUAUUUUAUUAUUUUGGGUAAUUCGCCAAUCUCUUGGAAGAGCAAGAAGCAACAUACGGUGUCUCGCUCUUCAGCUGAAGCAGAAUAUAGGUCCAUGGCAACCACAACUUGUGAAUUGAAAUGGUUGAAAGGAUUGUUGUCUAUCUUUGGUGUGAUGCAUUCUGACCCUAUGCAUUUGUACUAUGAUAGUCAAGCAGCUUUACACAUAACAGCUAAUCCCGUUUUUCACGAACGAACAAAGCAUAUUGAAGUUGAUUGCCACUUUGUACGUGAUGAGAUACAAAAUGGUGUUAUUCACACUAAGUAUGUUCAUACUUCCAUGCAACUCGCAAACAUUUUUCCAAAAGCUUUGGGAAAACAACAGUUUGACUUUCUUCUUCGCAAGUUGGGCGUUCGGAAUCCUCAUGCACCAACUUGAGGGGAGGUAUUACCGAUUAUGGUAAGCCUUGAUUGGCAAGUUUUUGGUAAGCCUUGAUUGGCAUGGUAGGCAAAUAUUGUGUUUGUAAUUUGUACAUAGUUUCUUCCUUGUUUAGUUUUACCUUGUUUAGGAGUCUUGAUGUAUCUCUUCUCCGUGUAUAUAUAUUGGCAAUCGAUGAGAAUAAAAGGACAGAAGAAAAUUGAUCCAAAAUCACCUAGAGUUUUUUAAUUUUUUUUUUUUAAAGUUAACUAAAUAAAAAAAUCAAAAUAUUUUACUUUUUACUUAAUACUAAAAAUAACUUUUUGAAACAACCAAAACAUAAUUUCAACAUUACUUUCGUCCUAUUAAUACAUAAUACUUAAUAUAAAUAAAAUAAUAAAAAAAAUACAACUUAAUACUUAAUAAUAUUAAGCUAUAUUUAAAGUUAAAUUGAAUUCUAUUUAAAUUUAACUAAAAAAACAAAUAUCACCUAAUUCUCGCAUUUUGUUCUCUUACAACAUUCAAUUUCCUUCUCUAGAGAUGCUUUACAUUAGGAACCACAUGCCUCUUUCUAUGAACAACCAGCUUUUUGUCAAUUAUAGUUCACAUUCUAUCACUCUCUAAUAAUAUUAAUAUGUAUUUAGAGUUAAGUUAAAUUAAAUUCUAUUUGAAUAUAACUAAAAAACGAACAACAUUUUGUGGUUUAACGGUCCGAAUUGGGGCCUGAUUGCCAGACCAGAGACAAUGUAUGGUCUCUACCAACUAGCAAUCCACAAUCCUCCGACAUGGGAUGUGGGAUGAUUAUAAAUUGAAGACAAGAAGAGGAUCCAGAAUAGCAACAACUGGGCCCAAUUGGUCCAACUGAUCUUCGAAGGCCUACGAAUCAUUCCAUAACUUGUUUAACUAGAUAUUUCUACACCAUAAAACAAUCUACAAUUUUACGAUGUGGGAUGUGGGUGAAUUAUAAAUUAAAGACAAGAAAAAAGGACUUUGCGGUGGAAAAGCAAAGGCUAAACCGCUUGACUAUGCAUCACUUUUGAAAUAUUGUUGUAUAAUAAAUAUAUAUAAAAAUACUAAUAUGUUUUUCAAAUUGUUAUCAUAUCAAACCAUUAAACAAAUACAAAUAUUUACAUUCACAUUUAUUUUUAUAAUAAUUAUUCAAUUAUAAAUAUAAAAAUAAUAUAAAUUAAUUAAUAUAAUAAUUUAAAAUAUUUUGAAAUAAUAAAAUAUAUAAACAUAUAAGUAAAAUUAAAUAUUAUAAUUUUUUUUUCAUCUUAAAUAUACCUUUAAAUUUAAAUAUUAUAUAUGUUCUAUUUAAUCAAAUUUAAUAUAUUUAUAUUUAUCUCUAUGAUAUAAUUUGAUAUAUCAAAUAUAAAAAAUAAAAUAUUAUUAAUUUUUUUAGUGAUAUAUUUUUAAAUUUAUAUAAUAUAUAAAUUAUAUUUACGAUAUCAUCAAUUCGAUCAUGAUUUGACCGUCGAUUCAAUCGUGAUGCGAUCAUCGGUCUGAUCAUUAAAUCAUGAACCAAUAACUUUUUCAGUUUAACGAUGGACCUAAUUCUAAAAACAUUUGGUAUUGUGAUGGGCUUGAACCUAAUUUGAACCCAUGAUCUCUUAGUCGGCUUAUUAAUGGAUCAACUAUACUAAAAAUUUCAAUUUCCAUGUUUAGGAAAUAGAAUCAAUGAGUAAUUUGCAAACAUAUAAAUAUGUCAGUCCUAUUAAUAAGAUUUACUAACAAACCCAAAUCAAAUCUUAUCAUCUAAGAAACCUCAAUCAAAAUCUAAACGUUUAAUGUAAAUCCAAAAAUUAGUACCAAAUGCUAAAAUGAAAAACCAAUUUUAGUGUAUGUUAUUAAAAUUAUAGUAGUGUGCUAAAAUUAAUUAUAAAAUUAUCCUUUCUGAUAUCUUAUACUCAGUUGUCCAAUAUUUAUGAAAGAGAAAUUUAGAUGAUACUCUACAAUAAAAGAUCAUUGUAGAGUAUCAUAAACAUUUUUCUAUAUCUAAUUUAACAAUCGCAUAACUCCAAGCACCCAUUUCUCCUAUUAAGUUGCAAAAAUUCAUGAGCUAACAAAAUGUUAUCAAUUCCAACACUUGAAUUUUAAGAUUUCAUUGGACAGUAAUUUCAUAAAGUAUUUUUAAUAUUUUUAAUAUUUUAAAAUUUAUAUCUUUUAAAUAUUAAAAAUAGCAUAAAUGCUUUUUAAAAUUAUUUCUAAACACACUAUAAAUCCUUUGUAUAUAAAAGUGAUUCUAAAAAAUUUUAUUUGAUUUUGGCACCAACUAAUUUUGAGAAACAAAUAAGUAAAAGAGCUUUUUCUUUUUCUAUUUUUUUUUUCGAUAUCAUUUUUGAAAGGGAGAAUAUUUAAUCUUAAAUUACCUAUUACAUCAUCAAAUAAUUUUCUUUUACUAGAUUUCCUUUAUUUUCCUAUUUCAUCUUUUUGACUCAAGAGAUUAUCUUUACUUACUCUCGCCAUUCAUUUAUUAAAUAUUUUAUUCAAACUAACAAAAUUAAUAGAUAUGUUAACUCGAUCUUAUUGCUUAUUUUUAAGUUAUAUGUUCAUUUUUAUAGUACAUGUAAUGUAAACUAGAGAGAAAUUACACAUUAUUUAUUUUUUUAAAUUACUCUGGCUAUUUUCACAAUGACUUUAAAAAAUUGUUUUAUUAUAUUUCUAGAAAAAAAAAAUUGUUUAAGAAAUUAAAAUGUUUUUAACUUAUUUUCUAUAUUUUUAAAAAUAAUUUUUAUAUGUAGUACUUUAUUUUUAAACAUUUUUUAAAAUAACACUUAGAAAAUGAGUGAAAAAAAAAUUGCUAUAAGAAAAAUAACGAAAAUAACUAAAAGAUGUGUUCCAAAAACACAUUGUUUUAUAUUUUUAAGAAUAAAAAACUCAUUUUUGUUUUUUAGUUACCAAAUGUCUAUUUUCUAAAAUGGUUACCAAAUAAGAUAUUUGUCACUUCGAGUUUUUGAAAUUAAUAUGUAAUUAUAAUUUUAAAAAUUGUAAAAAUUAUAAACACUAUAAAAAUUAUAAACACAACAUAAGACAUGUUAAAAAUGAAACAUAUUCCAAAUGAUGUAAACAUUUUAAAAUUAAAGAUCAAUUUAUAUUGAAAAAAUAAUAGAUUUAAAAUAUUAAUAUCCUCAUUUUGGUUAUUAUUGUGUUCACAAAAAUUUAAUAAUCUAAUGUAUUAAAUAUUGAAAUGUUAAUUUGGAAACUGAUAAUAAGAAUUUUGAACUCUAAAUUACUAAUUAGGAUUAUAAUUUGGGUGGCUUUUUAUUUAUGUUUCAUCAUAAAUAGAUCAAUAAAUAUGAAUCAAUAUUAUUAUAUUCCAAUACAAUACCUCGAAGUGGAUCUCAAAUUGAAUCUUACGGAGCCUAUUCAUACACGACAUGAUUCACGUGAAUGACAGUUUAAAAAAAAAUACUUUUUUGUCAGCGAAAAACGUAUUGGUAAAAUUUUUUGGAAAAAAGGUUAACUCACGUGAAACCAACUGUUGAUAUUUCCAGCCUAUGUUAAACCUAACCCAAGGUAGGGUAGGGAAUUCUCAGCCCAUGUCAAACUUGUGAGCAAUUCGGAUUACCACAGAUCCAUACAGGUUAUCAAAUAAAAAAAUUAUUUCAUAGCCCAUAAAAUAUGAGUUAUAUAAUGAAACAAGAGAUUAAUACCUAAAUAUAUCAAAGUAAUAAAAUUAAUUUUAGUUGCCAAUAAAUAACUAUUUUAUAACUAUUAAAAAUUAAGGUAACGUUGGUUUUUUUGUUGAAUGAAAAAAGUUAAAAUAUUUAACUUUUUCUAUUCAAUUAAAAAUAACUUAUUGGCAUUAACUAAUAUAAUUAAACUAAACUUAUUGAUAAUAAAUUCACUUUAAUUAUGUUGGUGUGGACCUAGCAUUUGGCUCGAUGCGUUCCCACUCGAUGACGAAACUUGCUUUUUAUUUUAUUUGGUGAAAUUUUGAUUUUUAGAAAAAGACUUGGAGUCGUCACUUAUUUUUAUUUUAUUUUUAAAGGGAAAAAUAAAAAUGAAAGAAAAAAAAACUCUAAGUAUGACUCUUAAAAGAAAAACGGGUAUGUGAAAAACCAAAUCUGAGUCCGGGGUCAGGUUACUUAUUGGAAAGGUACAGUGGUGAGCCGUAGCACCCCUCUAAGCCUGUAUACGUACGACCUCUACUAAACGAAUUAAGGGAAUUGUGACAAUUCAUUAAUUAAUUAUGGAUUCCAAGAAAAAUAAUCAAUGUAGAAAUCACAGUAAAAAUUAAUAUACACAAAAAUAAUGACGAAAUCUAAUUAUAAGAAUACACAAAAUAAAUGACAAAAGAAUUAUACAAAAUGAUUUAUUAAACUAAAUAAAUAAAUAGUAAAAAAAAAUAUUUAAAAAAUAGUUUUCAAGAAAUUUCAAAAGAUUUUAUUAAAAAUGAUUUUGAAUGAGUGAUUUCAAUUUAUUUAUUUACAAAAUAUUUUCUUUAAGUGAUUUGAUUCAAUUUCAUUUAUAUUUAAUUUAAAAAAUAAAGUUAUUUACACUUAUUGUAUCAAAGAAUUUAUUACAAAAUUUCAAUUUAGGCACAAAAAUUAUUUUUACUUGUUUAAAAAAAAUGAAUUUUUACAAUUUUAUUUACAAAAAUAUUUCAAUUUGAUUUCAUUUAAGAAAAGUGAUUUAUAUAAAUUAUUUAAAAUGACAUAACUUUAUUUGCAAAAGAAAUUUUAAUUAAAAAAAGAAAAAACACAAAGAUUUAAAUCCUCCAUUUCUUAAAAACACUUUUAAUCCCAUUUUAAUCAAGAAAAAAAAAUUCAUUUAAAAAAAAUAUUUUUAGACAAUUUUAUUAAAAAUUAAUUUUUGGGACGACUUUAUUUACAAAACAAUUUUUUGGACAAAUAAACAAAGAAAUUUUUGGACAAUGUUAUUAAAAACAAUUUUUUGAAUUCUAUUAAAAACAUUUUUUUUUUCUAAAUGCAUUUUUCUGGAUUUUUAUAAAUAAUGAAAAAAAACUUUCUUCUAUUAAAAAUAAUAUUUUAAAAUUAUUGUUUUAUCAAAACAUAAUUACUGAAUUCUUCCUCUCAUUUAAACAAAAUUUAUCGUUUGUUCGAUGUUCAAUUCUGUACACGCUCAAUAAAUACAUACAAAACGAAUAUUUACACAAACUAAUAAAAAUAAAAUAAAAUAAAAGUGAAAAAUAAAAUAUGUACCCAAAUAAACUUACAACAAGUUUCACAUGUCAUCAAUUCGUACUCAACCAACAAGAUUGCAGAGUGGGUUCAUGCAAAAAUAAGAAUAACACAAAUGUAAAUAUCCAAAAAUAUGUAGAGUCCAAAAUAAUUAUUCAAGUUUCAAAUUAGUUCAAUAAAUUUCAAAAAUGGGUCCAAAUUAACAAAUAUAACCCAAUAAAAAGUAUCUCACAUGUUAUAAGCCUAAUUUAAAAUUUUUAAAUUAAUAACCAAAAUAUAAACUCAAUUAAUCAAACCCAAAACAUAAUAAAUUAAAAUAAAUCUCAUUAGGCCUAAAUUUAAUAUCUCAUCAUCCAAGCUCAAUUUUAAUACACACCACAAUUGUCCCAUGUUCAAAUUGACCAAACCCAUAUCAAAUAUUCAAGUCAUCCAACAAACCUCACUCACAUUGUAAGCCCAAAAUUCAUAUCAAUUAACAAGUCCACAUUAAUAAUACAUAUGACCAAAAGAAUUUAAGCUCAAUCUAAUAAGCCUAAACAAAUAUUCAAUUAAUAAACCCACAUUAAUAUUAUAUAUAGUUAAAGGUAAUAAUGUACUAAGCUCAAUCCAACGAGCCCAAACAAAUAAUAAAUCAACAAUAGGCUCAAGUCUAAAUAAACAGUAUACAAUUGAUAUAAUCCAAAUAUCCCAAAUUAAUCACCAAAUAUAAUAUACCCACAAAUCCAAAUUAACAAAUUUCAAAUUAAUUCACUAACAAUAAAUUAAACCAAAUUACAUAUUAAUCUACCAAUAAUAAAUUAACCCCAAAUUUCAUAUUAACUCAAUAAUCCAAAUUUUAUAAACAAUAAUUACUAUUAAAAAUAAUAACAAUAACAAUAACAAUAAGGGAAAAUGAGUGAUACGGGGAAGUGGGAGGAUGAGAGACAAGGGCAGGAGGUCAUUGGCCGAUAGGGGCUCGUUGCUAGUCGGUUAUCUCGCGAUGAUAGUUGAUGACUUUUUUUUUAAGAAAUAAAAAUAAAAUAAAAUAAAAUAAAAUAAAAUAAAGAUAAAUAUAAAUAAAUAAAUGGGGAAAUGAGGAUGGAGGGGGCGCCGAAAAAGAUGCAAGCGUCAAGCCGCCGGCAGUGUGAGAGUUUGGGGAAGGAGAAAAAAAAUAAAAUAAAUAAAAGAGCAGAUGGAGAAGCCGACGGGGUGUGGUGUUGGGAGAGAGGAAGAAAAAAAGGAAAAAAAUGGGGAAGAAGAAAAUGGGUAGACGACCAGGGGGGCGGACUCUGUGGGAAGGGAGAGAAGAAGAAAAAUUCCUAAGUGGGUGGGGAAAAAACGAGGUCGGCCUUGCGUGUCCUCCAAUGAGAGAAGGGCUGGCCUUGCGUGUCUCAAAGAAAAAAAAGAAAGAGGGGUCUUGGAAAAUGGGGGCGGGGGGCCGGGCUUGGACGUAGGUAUGGGGGGUAGGUGAGGAUAGGUAGAAAGAGGAAGAGAGAGAAGAUAAGAGAGAGGAGAGAGAAAAUGAAAUAAAUAAAUAAAAUAUAAAUAUAUAAAAAUAUAAUAUAAUAUAAUAUAAUAAUAAUAACAAAUAAAAAUAAAAUAAUUUAUAAAAAAAAUAAAAACUAAAAAUUAAAAGAUGAAUGUAUAAAAAAACAUAUAUAAUUAGAAUUUAAAAUUGAGCUUAAGAUUAAUAUAAAAAUAAAAUUGAGAUAAAUUUUGGAAUCUAUUAUUGAUUAAUAUCAAUAAAACGUUUUUAGUUAAAUAAAAAAAAUCAAAUAUUUUAAUUUUUUUUAUUUAAUAAAAAAACAAACAUCAUUUAAAUACCUUCAUUUUUAUGUAUUUAUAUUUUAAUAAAAUAAUAUAUAAUAUAAUUAUAAAUAAAUAAUGUGUGGGUUGAGAUUUGGGCAGGUUGCCCAAACCUUCGGUCUACACUGACUUUAAUAUUUUCAAAGUGAUUGUGUAUUAUUUUAACCCAAUCCCCAUACUAAUCCAUUUGAAACUUUGUCCAAGCCAACCUGAACAUCACAUUGGCACAGGUUAGGCAGGUUGGACUCGUCCAGUUGCAGCCAUAUUACCAAGUCCUCAACUACUUUUCAGCAAAGUUGAAUUUAUUUAUUUAUUUUUCCUUGUUGCAAAGUUCUCCUAAAUCUCAUUAGUGUCAAGGGUGAAAUUAUCUUGCCAAAUAGAGGUCAAGCUUGCUAGCCGCAAUUUUAGAAAGAAGUUCAAAAUCAAUCUUGCAUAAAUACUAAAAUGUAAAUUGAGACAAUUCCAUUUUUCCGACCCCUGUCUUAACUUUGGUAAACACAUAAGCUUUAGCCAUCACCAAACAGGCAUCGAAGUUGGCGAUGCCGGCCUAAUUCGUAAUUGAAUUGGAGAAAAAUAUUUGGAAAUGGGAAUUUGAAACCACCUUUAAGAUAAUUUGUCGUGUUCAUCAUGCUCAUUGAGUAUGUGACGUGCAGAGGAUGACGACUAGUUGUCGGCGUGAGAUGACGUAAGAUGCUCCUUGUCGAUGACUAAAGCUUUGAGUAAAACCAGGGCAAACAGCCCACGAGAUCCUACAAAUCGUCACUACAAACGUAUUCCUCCCAUUCGUCACUGCAACACGUCAUAGCCUAUAAUUCCAACAAACAAAUUAACCCAAUUGACCAUUCCAUGUGCUCAUUCUCAUUGCCUGCUGGCCGAUGAACUCAGAAUUCAAUUGUAUACCUCAUAGAAGAUUUUGUUGUAGAAAUAUAAUUGGUCAUAUAUUUACACCUAAACACCUCAAGAACUGCAAAACUUUCACGUCAUUGUAACCUUUAAAUUAUUUUAACUCAAUCGGUUUCUUGUGUCCAACAUGCUACUUGAAUUACAUGUUCUUGGUGCCAUUUUUUUGGUUGUUAAAUAAAGCUAUUGCAGCCCAAAGACAAAAGAAGCUUUUUCAAAAAAGGGAAAAAAAAAGUAUGUCAGUUUUAUAAAAGUUGUCUAAAAUGGCAUACAAGGGUAAUAAUUUAUAUAUAUUAAAUAGAAUUUUGUUUUCACAAGAUGUGUGGAGGAGAAACAGUUGAUUUUAGCAUUAAGAGAAUUGUAGCUCUCACUGUUAUAAACUUGUGGCGAGGCACCUUUGUCUUCAGCAUGAUGCUGGAUUCGGGGAAAAAUAAUGUACGCAAGCCGACAACUAUCAGCCUGUGUGCAAGAGAAGACAACGACAAGUGACCGUGCAUUCAUGAGAUUAGAUGUAAAGGCGCUGGCUCUUAUCAACUAGUCUGACAGCACUUAAAACACAAGGCAAAGGUGCUCACGACGACUACCGCCAAUACGUCAGUACAAACGUCAUAGCUACCGUAUGUACUGUCCACAACUCCGUGCCUUAUUUAAGCGUUCCAAGGCCAUUCCCUACACAAAUUAACCCAAUCAUUCUCUGCAUAGAUCCACGCUCUACCAAGUUUCUAGCAAAUAAUCCUGUACUUACUAUUCAGCAGCCAAAUAAUGCAACCCCAAAUCCUCCUAGUAACUUAUCCGGCACAAGGCCACAUCAAUCCCUCUCUCCAACUAGCUAAGCUCCUCAUACGUGCUGGUGCCCAUGUCACCUUUGUCACUAGCAGCUCUGCCGGUACCCGUAUGUCCAAAUCCCCAACCCUGGAUGGGUUGGAGUUUGUGACAUUCUCGGAUGGCUAUGAUCAUGGAUUCGACCACGGGGACGGCCUCCAAAACUUCAUGUCCGAGCUGGAGCGUCUCGGGUCCCCAGCUCUUACUAAGCUCAUCAUGGCCAGAGCUAAUGAAGGUCGUCCCUUUACUUGCUUACUCUAUGGUAUGCUAAUUCCUUGGGUAGCAGAGGUAGCCCGAAGCCUUCACCUCCCAUCUGCACUUGUUUGGAGUCAAC
rnacentral:lncRNA from 1 species